rnacentral:lncRNA from 1 species
GAGCAAAUUCCUCCAUGACUGCUCCAAGCUCCUACGAACUUACUCCCUCCAUCCCAUUUUAAGCGCUGCUAUGAGUUUUUUUUUUCAACUUUCAUCAUCCGUCUUAUUUGAAUUUUUUUAUGAUUAGUAUUUUAUGCGUGACUUAUGUUUUUCAAUAUUUUCAUUUUUUUAAAUAAGAUGGACAAUUAAAGUUACUCAUGGCCGUGCUUAAAAUGGGACGGAGGGAGUAUAUAUUAGACCCAAGAGUAGAUAACCAGCAAACUCCAGUGAUCCAGACUGCCAUCUAUUUCUUCCCUUACAUAUUCAGUAGUUCAACAGAAAACCUGAGGCUUGAAGUUUUAGUUAAGCAGUGCAUCAGCUUACAGCAAAGGUGAUGUGGCUCCAGGAGAUGUGAAACUGUGAAAAGUAAACAUGAAUACCAUAGUGUAGGAAUGAGAAACAUCGAGAAGGAUUAGAGGAGACUCAGGGCUUAUUCGUUUCAAAGGAAUUGCAAAGGAAAAGCAUAGGGAUAAAAAUGGGUUUUAAACUACCAUUCGUUUCAUAGGAAUGAACCAUAGGAAAACUAUAGGAAAGUUUUCCAUUCCUCCAUUUUUGAAGGAAAAGCAUAGGAAAAAACAAUCCACUCUAACCUAAUAUUUGCAUUCCUUUGGUUGGCUUGCUCAACAACAUAGGAAAAAUUCUUGUAUUUUUUAAUCCAUAGGUCUGCACAUGUAUUCAUAUAGUAUUUCUACGUUUAUUCUAUUUCUACGUUUUGAAAAUGCUGUGAACCAAAUAAGCCCUCAAUGUGGCAAAUAGCAUAGCGUUGGGCAUUAAUAUCCCACAUGUAGAGUUGAGUUUAGAUAGGUUGAGGACCAGCGUAUAAACUUUUUGCAGUAAUGCCAGUUCUAGCUAGUUCAUCUGGGUUAACUUUAAAAAAAAGGGAUGGAUGGGAUUUACUACACCAUUUUAAAGGCACAUAUAUAGUAUAUAUGCUUUGAUUUCACCUACACCCCCUUCCCAGAAAACUAGCAUGAAGGCCACUCAUCAGUCUGUAGGAUCGAAUCACAAGAACUAAGCCAACCAGAGGGGGGUGAAUGGUUGGUAUACCCAAGAACCGAAAACUUUUAGCGGAAAUAAAAGUUACCCUCGAAUUCGACAGAAGUCGGUCUGACCGAGAUUGAUCUGCCAGUCUGACCGAGUGGAUGCCGCCGGUCUGACCGGUAUAGAUCACCCGGUCUGACCGCCGAUGUCGCCUGCUGCGCCUGUUGCCGCCGCCGGUCUGACUGCCGUGCUCCCGCCGGUCUGACCGCCGCUUGCCGCCGGUCUGACCGCCGGUGAGUUGCCAGUUAGACUGCCGAAACCCGGUGAAACAUAAAUCGAAGAACUCUUAAAGUAGAUGACGACUUUAUUGAUUCUCUAUGUGUUCACAAAGUGCAUCAACAUCACUCCUUACAAAAAUUUCGACUAAACUCGAAACCCUAACUAAACUAGCAACUCAAUUGCUCUCCAAAGUGAUACCAAAAAGCGAUACUGGGAAGCCUCACGCUCCCCCUCUAUUUAUACAUGAGGUAGGCAGCCUAAAACCACGAACCAAACUCAUACUAAGAGUCCUAAACACCUUAGGAAACCCUCUAGUACAAGACACAAACUUAACAUAACCAAUCGUACCAAAUUUGGACUCCUUCCAAAUUCGACUCCGCAUCCCAUACACACACAAUACUUCCACCGUAUGCCAUAUGGAAUCUUCACCAACCACGUGCAUCAACUCUAGCCUUAGUAUCCCGCAUGAUAUCUGACCACCACGGACAUCGUUUUACCACCAAGCCGACUCCCGGUCCAUCACCGCAAAUACUCUGCCGAGGCAUCGAGUCACCUACACAUGAAACAAACAAAGAAACCAUAUUCCGAGACCAAGCUAUCCUCAACUUGACUCAUUGUUAGCAAACAACAGUAUUACAUACGUAUAGUAUCCAUCUAGAAGCCAUAACCAUGAAACAAUCAUGGAUAUCCAAAGAACCAAUCCGAAACCGAAACCGACUCAGCGUUAGCCGGUCAGACCGCGGGCCUGGCCGGUCUGACCGCACACAUAGCGCCGGUCUGACCGGCAACCUCCGCCCGGUCGGACCGGACACAUAAAAUAACAGAAUCCGAUCAUCACCUGAAAAUUGAUUAUCUCCAAAACCACUUCGACGAUAAUCUCCAAAUAUCAAAACCAAUAAUCACAGAUGCCAAUUGUUCAUCACAGAAUAAGGAACAAAACACACUUUGAUCUUACACAAUCAUCACUACUCCAUCCAUCCCAUAAUGUAAGGGAUAAUGGGUAGAUGUGACACAUCAUAGUGCAAUGAAUCUGGACUAUGAUGUGUCACAUUCACCCAUUAUUCCUUAUAUUAUGGGACGGAGGGAGUACCAUUCACAUUAGCAUGAACUUAUGGACACUCAGUAGUGAACAAGUCUCUCAUGAACACCACACCUCCAUUUUCUACCCUCUCACUAGAGAGCCACAAGUACAACUAGCAGUAGUGCAUAUUAAAUGGCAUAGCCGCAUUUAAUUACUAACAAAGUGGAAGGCAAUGCAAGCUUAUAAUGAGUACAUGGAUCUCUGAAACCACAAUUACCCAAUCAGUUUCCUUUCCCCUCUUUCUACCACAAUAUCUCAUUAUCUCGGAAUGGGAUGCAUUUGGAGAAGAUAAAAGGGUAGUUCUCCCCAUUCAUGCUGCUCAAGAGGUCGUAGAAGCUCGGGAUUGUUGGUAUAGGGAUCUAAGUGAGCACCAUGCAUGAUUAACAACUAAAAAUAGCCUCCACCGGUAAUAGAUAAACAAACAUGAAGGGAGGACCCUCUAUAAGAUUAUGUCCCUACGUAGCAGUUAUAUACUUAUAUGAUCAUUGAAAUGUUGUUGCCUACCUGAUCAUGUAAGAUAUCUAAAGUUCAGUAUCCUAGAAUUAACAGGAAGCUGAUCAGAUGAAACAAAUCAAAGAAGAAAGAACCUUCUGCACAUACACAUGGUAACCCAUCACAUAUUCUGGAUUAAAUAGAUUAAUUCACGUAGACCUGAGAAAAGUUGCCAACAUGGGACUGGAGAUUGGACAUGCAUGCUCGUUAUAUCACUUUUAUUCACAAGUUCUUAUCUAGAUUUACAAAUAGAAAAAAAAGAUCAUUUUACAAAAUAAUUAUUAGCAUCCCUGAAACUUGAUGCAAGGAAAGGAACUGCUCCUAUCCACCUGUAUGAACCAAUAACUCUGUUUGAAGUACAGUCAUAAUGCUGCAAUUUCACCACGUCCCCUGCCAAUAGAAGUUCUGGAGUGAAGGCUCUCAUUAGUCAUCACUAUCCAUUUACAUUUGGAAGACCAUAAUUAUUGGCACUUGGUGGUGUGGAGUCUCCGUUGAUACUCAAAUUUGGUACUAGUUUGGAUUUAUAGCAACUUGCCAAAUUUGGAAACUAUCGAGUCUUUCCCGCGAAGGCCGGUCUGACUUCCAUUGUUUUUUUUAGGAAAACGACGGCAGGAGCUCUGCUGGAAUUUGAUUAAGAAGGAAAACAGAGUGCAAACAGAUCGGUCUGACUUCCGUUGUGUGGCCGGUCAAACCGGACAAUGAACUGCAGUCAGACCUUAGGUGUCCGCGUGGUCAGACCUUCAACACAAAGUCCGAGUCCAAUUAAGUAUUUCUCGUGUUUCCUUUUUUGAGACUAGGAUUUCUCGAAUCUUAGUUGAUUUCUAAGCCGAAUUGGACAUGAAAAUGACCCUGAGAAACAAGUCCACCCCUCCUACAAAUAUAAGGGGUCAAAACCGAUUGAAACAACAAUAAAUUAAUUAUCAAAAUCAAUUUAUUACCCAAACCCUCUAUAUUCUACAUCUUCCUCCUUCUUGCUACCUAUCCCAAAGUCUAUUCUACUCAAAUUCCCCAAUUGCUUGUCAUCCUCGUCUCUACGGCUUAGAGGACGUCCUAACUGGCCUGCCGGAGUCUAGGACAAACUGGCGCGUGUUCACCCUAACGGGGUCCCUCCUGGGUGUUCUUUUGAGCAUCCACCGCUCCUUGAGGCGGCUCGUCUCCGGGUGUGCCACUGCGGGUUGCACAUAAUGUGCUCAAUGUGUGAAGGCGCGAUUCGACGUCAACAGUCUCUAACACCGUACCUCCAUUUUCUACCCUCUCACUAGAGGGCCACUCCACACCACGUGACAAUACAACCGACUUAGUGAAUGUUAAUUGAAAGUAUAGCUGCAUUCACUAGCAAAGUGGAAGGCAAAAUGUGCAGCUUAUAAGGUGUACAUGGAUCUCUGGAACCACAACUAUAUAUCCAGUCAAGUGCUUAUCCCCUCUCUUUGCAUGACAAAUUUUACCACAAUCUUGUGACCUUGGAAUUGAACGCACUGGGAGAAGAUACAUGCAUGGGUUGUUCCCUCUAUUCUUGCCUCUCUAGAGGCCAACGAAGAUUUGGCUGGCUUGCUGGUCCAAGGAUCCAAGUUAGUACCUUGCAUGGUUGAACAAGAUCCACUUCUAAGAUAUCAAAGAACCUAACGUGAUGGUUGUUGAGUUGUGAUCCAAAUUCAUUUGCACUUAAUAAAAGCCAGCUUCUGCCCUAGUGAAGCGGAGGCUGAAGUUGGCCCAUUGGGUUGUGCACCUGGGGACGCCCGGGGGUGCGGGGGCGGAGGCCCCGCGGUACAGAUCGUAAUACCUUUUAGGGUUCCACCUCAUAUAUAUACCUCUCGUAAGCCGCCGUGCGGCGUUGUAACCUCACCCUCGAUAUAGUAAAGAUUUUUUUGCUGGCUGGCAUCCGUGGUUUUUUCUCUCCUGGUUUGGGAGGGUUUUCCACGUUAAAUCUCAUGUCUUCUGUGAUUGAUCUAUUGUUCUUUAUCGUUUGUUUGCCUAUCGCUUCCUAACAAUGGUGUGUGUCUGUAACUUUUCCGUCCUUGAGCUCAACAACAUGGAAAGUCUGUGCAUCAUUUGCAUGGGAUGAAUGACAUCUAAAAGUCAACAUCAACCAGCAACGUCCUGACAAGAAUGGAGGGACAUAAUUUGUUCUACCGAUGAUUUUAUUAUUCUAGAGGAGGUACCAUACUCUUUUAUAUCAAUUUGCAUUACCUCUUUAGACAUCUCCUGAACAAUUAGAAACAUCACCACUGCACUCCUUCAACCUUUUCACUUGCUGUUUCUACAUGAACAGAUGAAAUUCAUGAAACAGAGGGAGAGUGUUGAUUUAAGGAAAUACAGAUAUCAACAAUGAUAUGUUAUAGCCCGUAUUGGAAUGUAUGCAUGCAUAGGGAAACGGGGUAGCCAAAUGACGAUGAUCUUUACUAGGGAGCAGGGGCAUUUAGUAGACAUGGAAUGUAUUCCACUUAAUAUAAACUUUGGUUCAGAUCGAAGAUUACAAUCAUUUCCAGGAGCAACGACCCCAGAGAAUAGGUGUGCUAGCAAGUAUUUGGCAUGAACAUGUUAACCACAAUGAUGAUGUUGUGCCAUGGGAAUGGAAUGAUACACAUAUGUUGAGGAAAAGAGAGAAACCAAAGAGAAAAACAGCACGAGCAAUUCAGCAUCAGAAGCAGUCGUAGUAUAAACUAGAUAGCACUGGCUACGUUGUAUAUAUAGACAUCCAACUGAGGAGAAACAUGAACACUGUUGCUCACUGCUUAGGUGAAGUAUGAGCCUUAAUUAAUAAUUUUGAGUAAGAAAAUGCUGACAGCAUGUUGAUUAAUUUUGAAGUAUCAAAAUUUUUCGGUAUGUUGGCAUUCAAAAUUCUAAUAUUAUGGUAGACUAGUGGUCCAAUGGAGGGCACCUAUAUACCUAUAUAUACCUUCCACACAUCCAGAUUCCAGCACUAUUUAAUCAAAUACUCAUAUCUAAAGUCACAAGUCCAUCUAUAUCUGAUGGUUAUUCCGACUCUAUCUAGGGUGUAUAUAUACCAAUUUAUUUACAAGCUAGUAGCAACUCACACAAACAUGGAUCAGAUCGAGCUCAAACUACCUAAAGAUGAUGCAGAUCAACUGCCAGUGGCAUCACAAAUAUAGGCGUAGGAUGCAUUUGGGAAGGAGAAAAAGGACGUGAAACAAAGACUGCAUCGAUCACUCGCAAUCCAUAGAGCGUAGUGGCAUUGACUGACCUCACACAACCUUUUAUGCAGUAAGACACCAGAAAGAGUAGCAACGACCUGUAUGUUCAUAGUUGCAAUUUCUCAUAUACUCCAUGGAUUUAUCAGUAACUAGAUUAAAUUGUACCAAGUGAUAUUGUGGCACCAGCUAGCUAGUUUAAUAAAAAUGUUGGAAUAGUUGUAUGAUCAAUGUCAUAAUGAAAAUAAAUUCUAUGAAUUGAAAUUGAAAAAUGUACAAAGAAUAGGUAAAACAAUAGUAAGAAUGCUUGAUGGAAUGAUGGUAUUAUAAUGACUACCAUAUUAUUAUAGCUACCUAUGCUAUUUAAAUUUGAAUAGCAGAGGUAGCUUUUGAAUAGAGGUAGCUGUGUAUUAUGGGAUGGAGGUAGUAGUAAACUUUCAUUAGUACAAUUAUUAGUUACGUCUUCAGUUUCUUAAGGGAGAUUACUACCAUUGGAUGAUAUACCAAGUGUAAUAUUAUAUUAUACUAAUGAAUUUUCAUUAACGAUCUUUAGUAAUUUCAUUGUCAGAUCCAUCAAUGCCUAGACUGGAUGGACCAUAUGCUUUUUUUUUAUUUUUUCUGUACUGAAAUAUUUCGGUAUUAUGACUUGAAAUAUGUCGACAGAAAUGAACUUCACACAAUGCUCCUUACCUCCUACCAACAUAUAUAUAAGAUCCAAGAGUAGAUAACUAGAAAACUACUGUGAUCCAGACUACCAUAUAUUUCUUUCAUGAGCAUCUUUUCUAUCCUUGAGGAGAUACCACGAGGUACUAUGAGGUACGAGGCACCAUAAGGUACCAAUCUAAUCUAACCGUUGGUUUAACAGGGGUAUGAUCGGGCAAACAAAAAUAAGCUCUCCUCUCUUCCUUCUGCUGUAUCAGGUCGUCCAUGCCGGCUGUCUGCGCCGUGCCAUCGUCGCAUCGAGGCCGUCGCGCCGCCGUCACCCAUCAAGAUCGUCGCGCCGCCGUCGCCCAUCGUGGUCGUCGCGCUGCCGUCACAUCGAGGUUGUCGCGCCGCCGCCCAUCGAGGCCAUCGUGCCGCCGUCGCAUCGAGGCCGUCGCGCCGCCGUCGCAUCGAGGUUGUCGCGCCGCCGCCGUCCACCGGGGCCGUCGCGCAUCGAGCCUGCCGCCGCGGUCGCGCGAAGAUGCUUGAGCAGUAGGAAUUCUGAAGGUUGCCGUCGCGCAUCGAGCCCGCCGCCGCCGUCUCCGCCGCCGUCGCGCGAAGUUGGUUGAGCAGUAGGAAUUCUGAAGGAAGCUGAAGGUUGUCCAAUCGAAGAUGCUUGAGCAGUAGGAAUUCUGCAAGAGAUGGCAGUUUCUUCCAAUUUUUACAACCUCCCAAAUCUAGGCUGAUAAGAUUAUUCACUGAGGCUUUUGCAAUCCAGUAUGGGAUUUUAGCACCAACAUAACCUGAAAUCUUUAGGUUCUUCAGAAUAGAAUUUGGCUCAAGGUUAUCAAGAAUGAUUGAACAAUCUUCUCUGCUGUUGGUGCCAUCAUCCUCUGACCAUUCUAGAGAUAAUGAGCCGAGAUGCCGUUUUUCCUCCAGCUUCGCAUUCUUGGCUUCUUCUUCAUUCUCAAUAUUCUCUAGGUCCUUGAUAACUAGUUUACAGAGGCACUUACUGUGUAACCUUUUGCUUGUCGGACCUGAUAGUCUUCUAACAUCUCUCCUAGUUUGAUGUAUCGAAGGUGCUUUAACUUUGCCAGUUUGCCCAUAAAAUCAGAUGUAUGGAACAAUACCGUUUUAAACAGACCAUAAAAUAAAUGCAUGCAAGCAGCCCAUGCUGCAUAGGAAUUUAAUACUGAAUAGAAGGAGAUAAUCAGUUCAUAUCGGUGUUUCUUAGGUAAGAAAGAUCAUCGAUCAACGCUUAUGUUAGUUAACGUUGGUCCUAAUAUGAUCGGUUAAAAGCUGUCAAAUUUUAAUUAAAAAAUUUGGCAGAACCUCGCCAGUACUUGUGAACAUUCACGACAGGUAGUUUAUAAGCAAUCAGUCAUAAAGUCAUAAUCACAUCCAGACACAAAAUAACACAACCAACUCCAAGACUAAACAACACGACAAGUACAGAUCAAUUAUGUACUGAGAUUACAUAGUUUCAAAUUACAUAAUGUUACAUACUGACAGGCCUAAGCCUCAGAUAAGCAUACAAAAGAGAGUUACUGGCCACAUGCAAAUAUUCUUCAAUUUUGAUCAUCUAGGAUCAGCUGUGAGCCUGUGCCACAAUGGAUUGUCUGCAUGCCUUUCCUUUUCUGCUGAACAGAGAGAGAAAAAAACUGCACAAGUCAGAAAUAAAACUUCUCAUGCCUAAACAUAGCUGAAACAUUUUUAUUGAGAGAACAGAAACUAAUCUAGAAUUUGAGAGGCCAGCAUGUCGUUUCUGACAAUGCCAAGAAACGAUGAGACCGUUAAUUAUAUACCUAUAAGACAGUCAGUAAUUAUACCAUGGGCAUUCCGUCGAACGCCUUGAGUGCAAAAUAAACAAGAGAAGUUCUAUUCAACUAAGAUACAAUUUCCAUGCACACACAUGAAUUGACAAAUAGUGUGCAGUUCAUCUGCAAACAUGCAAAUGAAUAGCUAGCAAUUCGUAAUUCAUAUCUAUACACAGGAUAUAUAUUAGCAGCUGGAAAAAUCUUAACUAAUUAAGUGUAGUGCCAAAUUGCUUACCUGUUUUCAGGUCCUAUAAUAGUCCCCUAACUGAAGAUAUGCAAAUGAAAUUCUAACUGAAGAUAUAUCAAGAUUAUAUCUAACCCACAUUUUCCAUUUACUCUUGUGAUAUGAUAAAUACAACUACAAUCCAUAUAUCUCUUCAUGUUUUGUGAGUAUGCGACAUGCAACUAUAAUGCACAUACGUUUAACACAUAAAACAUUUACUAUCAAGAAUUAUUACACAUUCAAUUUGAAAUGUCCCCAUAUAGAAUCGACCCAAUGGUUCAGUCUUGUCUACAGCUGUGGUAUUGGGAUAAUUUUACUGACCUAGUGACCUUAACAGGAAGAGGAAGGGAAAACGUAGAUGAUGAACUCGGCCGUGGAGAGUCUAUGACCAGAGGAAGAAACUCGGUGGGUCAGGGCCUCAUGGGGGCACCGCAACCAUCCUAGGAAGGCGAGGGGGCGGACAAUCGGAUCGCACAGUCCCGGUAGCGCUGAGGAUAUGGUUGGUGAGGAGCAGCAUCACCGAACCGAGGCCAACACAACCCCUUACCCUCCCCCCGGUCCUCCCUGCGGAGCUCGUCGGCAUCUGGCGCCCUUGACCACGGGGGCGGCCGGAUCUGGCGACGAGGUGGCAGGAGUGGAGGCGCUAGGGAUGGGGAGGGGGAGGGUGCCAUAGGAUGCGGAGGAGCGGAGGAGACGGCAGCCAACGGCAUCGGCGUCCGCGCUCGAACGCGAAAGGAGGAGAUGGAAGCCGGCGCCCGGCAGCAUCUGUUCUUAGGCGGUUGUCGGUGAGAGAGAAGGGGAAAUCGGCGUUCGAGAGAGGCGAGGAGCCGGGGAGAUCGCUGGGUUGGGUGUUAUUGCGAAAUUACCACCUUACCCUUCCACCCAUGAAAUGCAUUCGGUACCGCCCUCGGGGAGACGCGGGUACCGAUACCAUCCAGGCCGUUGGAUCGCACGAAAUUGACGGUCAGGAUAUGGUACCUCCUUCCCUCAAGGACCGUAAAAAAUCUCUUAUUCCAUUACAUGCUCGAUCAGUAGUGAAAGAAAUCAGAGGUUAGAAGUUUAUACAGUAGUGCAUCAGCUUACCACAAAGGUGGAAUGGCUCUAGGAGAUGUGAAAAUGUGAAUAGUGAACAUGAAUGCCAUAAUGUAGGAAUGAGGUACAUCGAGGAGGAUUAGAGGAGACUCAAUGUAACAACCCAGCCGAGCAAUAAUAGUCCCACAUGUAGAGUUUAGAUUGGUUGAGCACCAGCACAUAAACCCGUGCGUUCUAACUCUGUAUGGAUUAACUCUUUUACAUAUAGCCAGAAUAGUAGAAGUAUAUAAAUUCCUCGAAAGAGCUGAGGUGUGGGCUUUUCAGAAACUAAGAUAGCAGCACCGACACUAACUUUAGUAGAGAGGUGAAGAGCCUGUAAGUUCUGUCAUUUGUGAUGAAGAAGAAAUGAUCAGAUUCUCUGUGAGCUCACAAAACCAAAAUGAGCAAGUACUUCCGGACAGUAUGCUCAUGCACCUACAGCACUUCAUUUGAACUUGUUCCACACCUUGUUUAAUAGAGUUUCUUAUUCUACUAGAAAGAGAAACCAUUGUAAAACAUCUAUAUUUUCUCACAUAGGAUCCCCCAAGGAAGAGACUAAUAUUAGAACAGAACAAUCAUGAAAGUCUUCCUCUUCAAAAAAUAUAAGGGGAGGGGGGUGUCAUUAGGAUGUGACAAAAUUUGGGGAAAAAAUACGAUGCCAUGAUAACAGAAAAGAGGAAUAAUGUUUUUAUUUUGACGGAAAAAGAGGAAUAAUGUUGGUAAUACAUGAUAAUCAUUUCAGAAAAAAAGGGAAUGUGUGCAAUACAUGUGCAUAUGUGAUUAUCAUUGACCCCUUGAACUAGUCAAAUCUAACACCAACUUUUAUAUAUGAAUUUGAACAUAACCUAUGUCUAGAUUUGUAUACAAAAGUUAAUUUAUUUUGGGAUGGACGAAGUAUAUCAAUAUUGCGAAUGUUUUCAAUCAGAGAAGUGGACAGAUAUGAACAUUUUGGUUUACACAUAAGAACAACUUAUCAUGUCGUGGUCAAUUCAUGUUUGAUGUCUAGGUCUUUUGUCUUCUGGAACAAAUUUUUAUUCCUGGUACGAAAUAGUAUCAAAUAAUUAUAAUCUUGAAACCAUCGAAUCGUGUGAAUAAAAAAAAACCAGAACUGCAGAAACACACAACGGACAUGUCUCAAAUUUCAUAAGUUAUUGAACAGAGGAGUAAAUUAUAAAUAUGAUUGAUGAUUUCUCAAACCAACAGGUGGUGAAUGUAAAAGGUGACCAUAACUCUCAGGGAAAAAAAAGCAUUCACCAACCUACCACUUAUUCAUAUCAGUUAUAAAUAACUAAACACCUGCCUUUCAUUUUUAUCAGUGCCACUUCGUUGUUUUCUUCCUUUCUACAGUUACAAGAACUAAACUUGAAGCAGUUGCCACACAUCAGUUAAAGAGCGAGGAGUAAUCUCUACCACAAAAUGCAUGGGUAUGCAACUGUGAGCUUAAUUCAUUGGUUCACACCCUCAUUUAUCUGAUCUGUUGUAGGGAUGGGAUGCAUUGAGGAAGAUAAGAAAAGGCACAACGAUAAUACCGGGAGUGUUUCAGCAUCGAUCGGUCCUGAUUCCUGACCUUCUUUCAGCAUGAAGUGCGACACUUGCAUCUCACACUAGGACAGAUGUCAUGACCUCAGACCAUGACGGAAUAACUACAGCCGGGAAGAUAGCCGGGCAGCGUCGGCUCCUGGAGAAGGGAUGUAGAUUCAGGCUAAGGAGAAGAACAUUGCUGGGAGAGAGAGAUUAGAUUAAUUGAUAUUCAUUGCUUAAUUGAUAAUAGAUACAAUCCCAUCCUUAUAUAGAUGGUACAAACUUGAUCCCUAAGUAAGAACUUAAUCUUAUCCUAUCUUAUCUCUAACUACUAACUAACUAAUAAUCUUAUCUCUAACUUGAUUGGUUUGGGCUGCCUAUAAACCUUGACCUACGGCCCAAUGCCCAUAACAUUGUGUGAGGUUCAACUCAUGAGCUCGUCAACCAAAGAGGUAGCUAACAUAGCUCACUCUAGGUUAAUGAGAAAGACGAAUUUGGAGCAGCAUAUGUUUCUUUUCCGGUUUCUUUGCAUGGGAAAUGUGAAAGAAGGUUCUGGCUGAUUUUUUUUUAUUGGCAAUGACACAACUGUUCAAAUCACUGAUGAGAUCUAGAUAUCACUAACGGCAAGAAACAUUAAAGAUUUGCCCUUCAAAUCACUGAUGAGACUAGAUAUAUCACUGUUUCAACAUUUAAAGAUCGACAGGGUUUCACAAGAGAGUAAAUAAAUAUUGUGUCGUUAGCCGCUACUAUCCUACAUUGGGUGGUAUAUUUUGGAUCAUGUGUAAUGCCGUGUUACAGGUUUUGGUAAAAAUAAAUAAAUGUUUGACAGCAAUGUGAAAAGGAUUAAAAAAUAUUAGUAAGUUGAAAAAUGUAUAUUAACAUGGAACUUCACAUCGUAGAAAAAAUAUGUUUCCAAAUAUUAAUCUCAUUGUUUUUAAAGUAUCACACUAUUAAUUUAUGGAGUUGAUGUUUGACAAUUCGUCUUAUUAAAAAUAAUUUUAGUACAUAUAUGUAAAAAUAUAAGUUAUAUUUAAGUAACUUUAGUGAUUAAACAAGUUACAACAUUACUUACCUAAUUUUUUAAUAAGAUAAAUAAUCAAAUGUCAUGUCCAAAAGUUAAUAUUAUACAUUUCAAAAUGAAGGUAGUACUAGCUUGUACAAGUGCACACACAUCUAGGUUGGCAAUUAAUAUCCUUAGUGCUGGCCAUGGCCUCUUUAUUUAGGUUUAGGCUUAUUGACUUAACCUUUUAAAUCAGUUUUUUGGCUUAUAUAAUUUAUAAGCUGGUGGAUUUAAAGUCCUAAUUUUAAGAGUGGAGUCAUACUUCUUUCUCUUGUAAGUAAAAAAAAACUUCUUCAACCUAGCUAGCUUUUAGCUUAAUAGUAUAAAAGUGGCUUAUGGUUUUAGGAAAGACAAACAAAAAAUUAUUAUUUAUUUAGGCUUAGAUAUUUUAACUCAUAAACUGACUUGUAAGUCUAAAAAAAGACCAAUGCCAAGAUAUGCUUAGGAUUUAGAACCAACGUGGCCAACAUCCACGUGGUGUUGCAUGCACAUUUCUGCUUUUCAUUGUGGAGGGUUGCCGAUAUAUGAUAUGUCACCCUUCUUGUCAAGCAAACCCAAGUAAGACACUAAUUAAGAAAUCUGGAAUUUUCCCUAAUGACAAAACCAAAAGAAAUAACAAUAUAAUAAUAAUAAUAAUAAUAAUAAUAAUAAUAAUAAUAAUAAUAAUAUACUUUUAGGUAGCACCAGCACACACAGAAUAAAAUAGCGACACAUACCCAUAAAAACUCCCGCUGCAUCUCAUGUUCUAUCCUGAUCCUCAAUCCAACACCACUUUACUAAGCAAAAGUUAUAUGCGCGAAAAUUGUUGUGUUUACGAUACACAAAAUUGCAAAACAAAGUGCUGCUGAAUUCUAUAAGAAUGGGAAGCAUUCAGAAAGCAAGAGUUUUUCCAAGAGAGGCAGUACUGCAGUAGAACAAGAGCAUAGCAGCUUGGCUCCAAGGGUAGACCCAUGGCCGAGCAGCCGAGGACACGGCAGAAUUGUGGCCAUGUCGCAUGAACAGCAUUAUUUGAUGACUCCAUAGGUUAGCCCGCUGUAAUAGUAUUUUCAUGGGCUCUAGAUGACUUCCUCGACGAGCCACUAAAAGAUAACUAGCCUCGUUUCUAGUUCAAACGAAAUGAAGGUGUAUACCGUCUUAGUUAUGAGAGGGCGUGCAUUCUCGUGGUUACAGUGAUAAUCUGAGUAGAUCGGAUAAAAAUAACCAUUCUAAAAAAAAUAAAAAAAGAAGAUGCCGUCUUAGUUCGCCAAGGAGCAGAGACAAUGUUUAAUUAUCAAUAAAAUUGUGAUGUGUGAUUUGGAAAGGGAACUACGUACCAGCCUCUUGGUAGAAUCACCACAAGUUCUCCUUUCUAGUCUUGUAGAUCUGAAAAUAGAAACUAAGGUACUCUUGACGUAAUCCAUCAAAUACUACCAAAGUUUGUAUUAACAGUGACCAGGGUUAAUUGUAACUAUAUAAGGAUGGGAACGGUUGGAAUCGUAACAUCUCUUUGGAAAGGACGCUUGGCCGAUCGAUGAUUUUUAGUAUUUAUCAAUUUAACUUGUUGAUAUCAAAACAAUGCUAAAAGAAAUUAGAGAAAUCAAAUCUCAUGUAUUGCAAAAAAUGGAAACGGUACAACUUACAAGGAAAGAACGCUCGGUCUGUCAGGAAUUUCCAUAGCAAUUUUCAUCGUUAAUUAAAACUAUGAAGUAAAAGGCAUAGUGAUUAAGAGGUAUUGUUGACUCAUUUGGUAUAAUUGUAUCAUAACAGAAAUUAUGCUUGAGCUCUUUGAACCAAAAGUUUGGUGGGUCCAUAAAUUUGGUUGAUGUUACACCUACUUUAAACAAAAAGUGCGCUGGCUGCAAUUGAGAUUUCUAUAGGCAAUUGUUGAUGUACGCUAGAAUAAACUGAAUUUGGCAUACUCUGCUGCAGAGUGAAAUUAAAUCUGCUAAAUAUGGUGCAAAGCAGUGUACAAUGUGUAAAAUGCAGUUUACUCAUCAUAUAUUCAAUAUUUUAACACAAUGGUAUAGGAGUAGUUCCUUAAUUUGUUUUUAUCAAGCGAUGGAUGGAAUUCAAUACAUCCAUUUGAGGUACAGUGAUAGUGCUACAAUUUCACUGCAUACCUUGCCAAAAAAUGCUGGAGUUAUAGCCCACUAUGGUGUAGUAGAAAGCAAUCUGAAUCACUGAUCUCAUUUGAUCGAAGGGUUUGCAUCUAUUUUUACUACCAUCCUAGUUAGCGUUAGUAGAAACAUGGAGAGACAUAUAUUUUCCAAAAUAAUAGGUGCUGAGGGGCAUAAUCGUCAUUAGCAGUAACUAAACAUUUGUUUUCCUACUUUUUUGGCUUUUUUGAUGGAUAUAUGAGUGAUGCCAGCAUAAUGAAUGACCACAAAUCAAUCUAGCCGGAAAAAAAAAGACAAAGUUAGUCAUUUUAAUAUCGAUCUAGCUUCAUUGUAUUAGUAAAUUACUAAUUUACCCUUAAUAUCAAAUAGUUUACAUCAUUUCUACUUGUACUACCAGUAGAGAGUAUUGGAGGAUCGCUUCUGGAGUUAAGGCUCUCAUAUGCCAAAAAUACCUCCAUUUCCAGAUUUCUUACCCUCUCACUGGUGAGCCUCGGUACAAAAAGCAGGAGUGCAUAUUUGGCAGUAUUGACUAACACAGUGCAAGAUAAUGUAAGCUUAUAAGGUGCACAUGGAUCUCAAAAACCACAACUAUCAAAUCAAUUUCUUUUCCCCUCACGCUGCAGGCUGCAGCACAAAUGUUACCACAAUCUCGUGAUCUUAAUUAGAAUGGGAUGCAUUAGGAGAAGAUAUAGGGGUUUUUCUCAACGCAGAAGCUUUGGCUUUCUGCUACGAGGAUCCAAGUGACUAAGUGAGCAUAAUGCAUGGUUGAUCAAACUCACCUGAUGAUAGAUCAACAAACCGAAUGCGGCGGUGUGUAUAGGAUAUCUGUCCGUUGUGCUGAACAAGCUACAGAGAAAUCAGGAAAUGUAUGCAACAUUUGCAUGGGAUGAACAUCAUUUUAAAAUCAGCAAAAAUCUCUACACCCAACAUUUUAACCCCAGCAGCCUCCUCAUAUGAUUUGGAGAAACUAACAGGACUGAUGAAUCCUGGGAGAUGCAGAUAAUUUUUGUGAUCCAGUAAUAUUUGCAUGGAUGCAUUUGGGAGGAAAUUAGGGGAUCAGACAGCCCCAUGAUCAUUCUGCAGGUUAGAUGGAUCCAACUACCAAUCUACCAUGCAUGCUGGGUAUGUUCAUACUUGCAAUUCCUUGCAUUUGCCAUGGAUUAUCAGCAAUGUGAAUAAAUUGUCCAGCAGAUAUUGUUGUACACUAAUCCUAGCUAGUUGAACAAAAAUGUUGGAAUAGUUGUAUGAUCAAUGCUACAGCGAAAGUAAGUUUUACAAAAUUUAAAAAUGUAUGAUAAUUGGUUAAAAAAAUAGUGAAAGUGAUUGAUAUGAUAACAAGUUUGUACUAUCAUAUACUCCCUCCUUUCCAAAAUAUAAGAAUUUCUUGGUUGUUUAGCAAGUACUAUGGUUAGGCCAAAAGAUUACUCUUUAGUUACUUUAAUUGUUAUUUUUUGAAUUUUGAAUGGAUUAGAUUCCCUUUCAAAGCAUUUGGUUGGCUCUGGAUUCAUCCAUUGAAGUUAUUUGAAUAGUGGGAAUCAGUGUAGGGAUCUCCUUACAUCGUGGUACAAAAUUUAAAUCCUAGAAAUCCUUACAUUUUGAAACAGAGAAAGUAUAUAUUAGCUAGAAAUCUUUCAUCAAUAUGGUCAGUAAUAAUGCCUUCGGUUUCAUAAGGCAUAUACAGUGCUCCAAUUAGAUGAUAUACGUACGGAGUGCGCUGUUAUACUAGUGAGCUUUCAUCAACGGCUUUAGUGAUUACAUUGUCAAUUUCAUCGAUGCAUGCUUGGGUUGGUUGGAAAUCUGUCAAUAGAAACUUUGCACAAUGCUCCAAGACUCCAACCAACAUAUAUAUCAUAUAAAGGAGUAGAUCGCUAGCAAACUCCUAUGGUCUAAACCACUAUGUAUUCCUUCCCAUGCAUCAUUAAUAGUGCAACCAGAAGCUAGAGGUGGUAGCACACCAUUGCAUCAGCUUAAAGCACAUGAGGAUAGAAGUUAACGUGAAUGUCGUAGUGUAGGAAUGAGAUGCAUCGAGAAGGAUAAGAGGAGACUCAAUUUAACACCACGGCCUAAUGAGUAUUGAUGGAUUAGUCUCCUCAGAUGCAGUGAUUGCAUAGAUAGCUUGAGACUGCAUAUUAACCAAUGCAUUUUAACUAUACAACUCUUUCCGGUUGAUCCUUUUGUAUAAAGUCAGAAUGAAAGCGCAAGGGUUCAAUGAUCAUCACCAUUUAGUUCAGUGUAAUUCAAAAGAAGACACACAACCACAGAAACACACAAGGGAUGCACCUAAUUUUCAUAAGUUUUGAACAGAGCUGUAAGUUUUAAAUAAUUUUCUAUUUGCAUGAAAACUGCAAACUAAUAUUAUAGCUCUUUUAUAUCAAAGGAACAGGUGCCAUAAGGGUUUCCACUUAUAUGAAUAUAAUGUAGAAGGUGACCACAUGACUCUUUCUUUACAAAAAAUAUGAUAGCUUAUGCCUAGCAAUUAGGGAACGUAUCAUAUGCACACAAGUCUUUUCAUGUAUACACUAUGCAUAGUAACUAGAAAAUAUCAACAAAAAUUCUAUAAAAAUUAUACAUGUACUUUUAAUAGUAUUAAAUUUAUAUCUUAAGUCCCAUCUUCAAAUUUAUUAUAACAGAUUUAUACUCUCAAAACUCAGAAUUCUUAUCUUUUUUUAUGACUAAAAUAUAAUGAAUUUGAGAUUAAGACUUCACAUAAGUGUAUUAUUAUUGGAAGUACUUGUACAAAUUUUUCUAGAUUUUUUUGGUAAAAUUUGUUAGUUGGUGUGCAUAGUAUGUACAUGAAAAGACUUUGUGCACAUGAUAUGUUCCCUAGCAUUUAUAUAUGUAUUGAAAGGGAAGUAGUUACAGGGGGGAAAAAGUUUUUCAUCAGUUAUAAAUAACCAAACACUUCGCUUUGAUUUUUACCACAACCACUUGUUUUCUUCCUUUUUCUACACCUGCAAGCACCAAAGUUGAAGCAGAUACCAUGCAGAAAUUGAACUGUUGAACCAUUACAAAAGAAUGGGAGAGGAAUCAAGACAUAAGGAGUAGAUAAUGUGGAUACAGCUUCAACUGAGCUUCAUUGGGGUUCAAUCUUGUUUUGUUUUGUGAGAAUGGGAUGCAUGGAGGAAAAGAAGACAAACCAGCACCGCAUUACCUGGAGGAUCUUAGGAGAAAUUGGUACGGCAUUUCAAACAGGAACAUCAAGCUCGAACGACAAGUGGUAAGUGAGAUAUACAAUUCUCAGCAUGGCUGGAGGGACAAGUGCAAUGUGCUGGAGGGAUCGAUGAGAGGAGAACAGAAUUGAAGUUGUCAACUGAAAUCAUCACCAAGUUUGGUUGCUGGCUGGUUCUUGUUUUAUUUUCGUUGCUAGCAAAAUGCAUGUACGUUGUUACAGAAUUUAGAAAAUCACAUCGCCACAUUGCAAAAAAAGAAAUCUAUUUUCAGUUUAGAGCCUAAUUUAGAAUUAAAUUAUAUGUUUUUUUUUCAUCUUUUUAUAUCUCAGCUAUAAAAGAUUUGAAAUGGACUCAACUAAAUCAUUAAUGCAUAACUUCCUCCCUUAAAAAGUAUUUGGUUUCGAGAGGGAUGGACAUGUGAGUUCCACGUGUUAUAGUUUGAGGGAGUUGGUGGUGGCAGACCGACCAACUUGAAACUCAAACAAGAUCAUCAUUAGUUUUAUGUGUAGCUGCUCUGAGCCUCCGUUCUCCAUGUCUCUCUUUUUGCUUUUGCCUAGUUGCUUACUUGCUUCCUAUUUACAAAAUGGCUUUCACCACUCUUUCUCAAACUAAAAGAAAGAAAUCAACUAGGAACGGUUGUACUAAGGUUGAACUGUGACAUCCUGGCUCAAUUAGGAUGAGGCAUUUGUGGCCCAUGAGAGCUAUGUGCUCAUGUUUAAUACCACCUCACUAGUUUAGCAAGAAUGGAACCAACUUAUAACGACUUGUUCCUCCAAACAUAUCACUCCCGGAUAAUCCCUUUUACAUGAAGCGAUGGUGAAAGUGUAAAUGGGUAGUAUGUAUAAGUAGGCCCACCCGUCAGAUGGGCUGGCUACGUUGUUCUAGAGGGUGGACUGUUACAAACUGAGCUCAACCACCAAUUAUACCGUUCCCAAUGUGGGACCACCAAAGAGGUAGCUAGCAAAGUACACUACCUAGGCAGCAAGAGAUCACCAGCGGCACAAGAACAGGCCUCUAGCUCAUGGCUUGAAUGUGUGAGAAUCAUAGAUUAUUUAUUUCUAAUCUAUAACAUGAUGGCUUUAGUCUAAAAUGAUCACCCUAAUUCUAAUGCGGAAUUGGAUAAUGGACGGUGUUUUGUUGACAGACAUGGAGAUGUUGUUGAUGCUAUGAAUAGUCGAUAGUUUUAAGUUGGUUAUUUAAUUUGGAUAUAGACUGACAAAUGAUUAUAUUCUUCUAAUUGAUUAAAUUCUACUUUUGGAUGGUUGAUAGGAUUAUUUACAAGUUAUUGGAAGAACUUGCAGCAUGUGGGGUAUAUGGUUAUACUACGUGACAUAUAUUCAUGAGUGGAGUUCAGAGUUUUGGCUUGUCUCCAGGCAUACAUAUACCUAGGCACAAGUCCAGCGCAAAAGCAUACAAGGAAGAUCAUAACAACAUGUUUCCCUUCUCUGGAAAAUUUUGUUGGCAACAGAUGCCUUCUCCUUCUUUCAGCUUCUGCUUCUUUAGUCAGUUUGGAGGAAGCAGCAAAUAGUUGAUGAUAUGAGAAUUCCUUCUACAUCGGCUUAGGUGUAGCAACACGACUUUAUUAUUAUUAUUAUUAUUAUUAUUAUUAUUUUACAAAAAUAUAAAAUAGAUCAGUCCCUCACCACAAGUAGAGCAAGUUGGUGAGUUAUUGUAAAGUUCUACAAAGCUAAUUUAAAAGUUAUUGCAUUAACUUAUUUCAUAUUACAAACAAGAGUGUCAAUGGAACAAUGAAAACCAUAUGACAUACUAUAAUUUUGUUUUUAUUAUUGAAAUUAUAUAAUUCAAAGAGAAUAAAUCCACAUAGCCGUAAAGUUCUACAUGUGGUGCAUUACCAAAAUAUAUAUAGCUUACAAAACAUGACAAGCUUAGUUUGAAAAAUUGCAAUCCUUAUCACAUUGACACAUAAAGUGAGUGAUGAGUCAUAAUAUUAUUUUUCUUGCUACCCAUCAUGUAUAUAUGAUAGCCACAAAGUUACUUUGAUGAUGAUAUCAAAGAACAUUUUUAGGUGCACCUAACAGAAUAUCCAAAUAAUAUGACUCACUUAGAUCAUAAUAGAGCAUCAAGUAAAACUAACACUCUAAAGCAACCGAUGGGAAAGCAUCUAUAAAUAGACAAGCACAAUGAAAAUCCUCAUCAUCCUUCACCACAAUUCAAAUAUUAUAGUUGAAGCAUAGUAGUAGAAUCCAACAACAAUGAAGAUCAUUUUCGUAUUUGCUCUCCUUGCUAUUGUUGCAUGCAAUGCCUCUGCGCGGUUUGAUCCUCUUAGUCAAAGUUAUAGGCAAUAUCAACUACAGUCGCAUCUCCUACUACAGCAACAAGUGCUCAGCCCAUGCAGUGAGUUCGUAAGGCAACAGUAUAGCAUAGUGGCAACCCCCUUCUGGCAACCAGCUACGUUUCAAUUGAUAAACAACCAAGUCAUGCAGCAGCAGUGUUGCCAACAGCUCAGGCUGGUAGCACAACAAUCUCACUACCAGGCCAUUAGUAUUGUUCAAGCGAUUGUGCAACAGCUACAACUGCAGCAAUUUAGUGGUGUCUACUUUGAUCAGACUCAAGCUCAAGCCCAAACUCUGUUGACCUUCAACUUGCCAUCCAUAUGUGGUAUCUACCCUAACUACUAUAGUGCUCCCAGGAGCAUUGCCACUGUUGGUGGUGUCUGGUACUGAAUUGUAACAAUAUAAUAGUUCGUAUGUUAAAAAUAAAGUCAUACAUCAUCAUGUGUGACUGUUGAAACUUAGGGUCAUAUAAAUCUAAAUAAAAUCAUCUUACCUAUUUAAAUAGCAUUCCUCUAUGAGGAUAAAUCCUAUUACAUUAUCGUAGCUAAUUACCAUCACAGGGACUUUACAAUUUUACUAUAUGCAUGCAUUUGAUCCUAAGCUGCUUUGGCUAUUAGAUAUAAAUGAAGUGCAUUAAGCAAGUUCAACCUUUCAUUCCCAAUAGGAACGAACUUGAAGCACAGAUGUCAAUUACUAUACCCCUAACAAUUGAUACACUAUAGCAGCGGUUGUAGCCGCAGCUGGAGGAUUCGCUGUCGAGCAGACCAUAUACCUGAAUUUAAACCAUGUCAAAUAUCCGUAAUGAAUAACAAAUAAUUUUAUAUUGUGCAUAUCCAAUGAAUAAUCAAACAUUUGCCUUUCGACUGUAAUGCUUGCAUGGCCUGCUAUUGUAUUGCUCUGGAAACACAUCUUUAACAGAUGUUGUAUUAUCACAUACAUUACAUUGGAGGAGAAGGAUUUAAGUGAUCAUAUAUAGAACAGAGGAUAUGAUGUUUUAGAAAAAAGAAGAUUAAUAAUGUCAAGAAUACUUUGUGAAACAGUGCAUGAUGCAGGCACAUCACUUGAUACAUUAAAAGCGCUGUAAAAAAUUUAUGCUGGGGAACUAAUGCACUACUACUAGCCUCACUAAUAUCAUCAGUUCGCGGUAUGUAACAAGCUAACAUUCUACACUGCACCACCCCAUCCAUUCUUGCUUUUUUCUAUAGAACACAAGAAGGAACAUCAGUAACUGGAUGCAUGUGUGCACCGCCAGCUGCCACAGUGUUGGCCAUUAUCUCUUUCUUCAAGGCAUUUCUUCCCAUCAACUCCUGCUUGACACAAGCAGGACAAAAAUGUAGCUUUGGUUAAGUCAAGGGGAGUCAGUCCAGCUAUAGAUGAACCAGCGCCCUUAUUAUUGUGAUUACUGCCCUAGCUCACACACCGGAAAUGGACUCAAAUCUUAAAGGCAUGUGAGCUUCUAACGAGCCCACAUUCCAUCUAGGUAACAUGAUAUAUUGUAAGGCUCUAUUUUUUUCAGAUUAUUAAAAUGGAUUAUUUGCUCCAUGCUUUAAAAUAUAUGUUUGCUCCAUAUUCUAAGUCAAGUAUUUUAUUUAGGGUAAUUAUUUUGAUCCUAGAGGAGACAUCCUAGGAUUUCUCUAAACAUCAUGAAAAUAGUUAUAGUAAAGAAAUUUCGUAAUAUUUAUGUGGUGUACAUAUUCCACCCUCACAAAUUAAUUUUCAAGUUAAGCUCAGUAGCAAAUCGACAAGUAAAAAAGGACAGGUCCAGCAUAUAAACGUUCAUGUGCAAUGUACAUACGAAUUUAUUUAUUUUGUUUCUCAAUGUUCAGAUCCAAUUUAAACUUGGUUUUUUCGUUGAGUAGUAAAUUGUCAUUGUACUCUAUAUUGUCAUUUUGUUAGGGAAUCUUUCAUUACUGUGUGCACUGCAUCGAAGAGAAAAAAAGGGCGUGUAAAUGCAUAUCCUCUAUUAAAAUCCGACUUCUAUAUAUUUUGCCCCAUUUUCUCUAUAAUUUCUAGUGGUUAUUGAUUGAGAACAGCUACAAAUUACUUACUAAGCACCUUUCAUGGGCACUAUAUAACUCAUGCAAUUCUUAAGGUUUACGAAUGCGAAUACAAAUAGAAAUUCGCUGUGCCGACCUGUUUUCAAAGAUUAAAAAAUUGAAACAUCAAUCAGAAACCAUUCCAGAAUGGGCCAAAAUUUGGAAAACAAAUUUUGAAUUCCAUGGAGAAAAUUAACUGGCUGGCAAUUGCACAUUUGCACUGCUUUGCCCCUAUAAACAUCUUCGAGUAGCCAUUUCAUUAUUCCCAGUAAAAUAUUAAUACUCCUUAAUCAAGAACUGCCAUAUAGGUCAUUUCUCUUGGUACUUCAGUUCGCUCAUUUAUUUCUCAUAAUUUAAAUUUCAAAGUAAUAAGCGAUAGAUCAGGAUCCAUGAUUUGAACAUGCAACUUUAAAGUAAUGCAGUAAGAUAUAGAUCGGUGUCCAUGACUUGAACAUGCAUGAACAGUAACCCCACUCGUGAGUUAAAAAGAUAGAUCCAUGAUUUAAACAUACAUUCGCAGAUAUUUGAUCAUUAUAUGUUGUAAUUAUAUUCUCAUAAAAAAAACUAAAAAUGCUUCAUAGCAUUUGUAUAUUAUGCCAAUAUUGAGAUAAUUUCGAUAUCUCAUAUGUUUUAGAUUGGAACAGAUCACGAAAGUUUUUCUUCGAAAAGUUAUGGUCAUUAGGACAUGAUGGAUUUGAGGUAACAAAAUAGAUGAGAUUUAUUAAAACCCUUGAAAUAGUCCAACAAUCCAGCGCUAACAUUUAGCACAGUGUAAUUCAAAAGAAGACAACCACAGAAACACACAGGGGAUGUUUUAAACUCCAAUUUUUAUAUAUUUGGCAUUAUUCAAAUUGCAAACAAAUAUGAUGACUCUCUUUCUCAAAGAAACAUAUGCCGUUAGGGUGAUCCCAGCGCUUCACUUAGAAUGGUUUUUCAUAGCAUUAAAUGAUAUGCCACGUAGGAAAAAACAUGAUGUGCCAUUUUAUUAACUUAGGAAAGAGAAGAAAAUUGGGUCUUCUCAAAAUGAUCAUCAUCUAACAAAAUGUCUCUUUGUUUAUUUGUGCAAAGAGUAAAUGUGCAUCGUGCAAUGUCAUGCAUGCUGCCAACCAAGAUUAAUUUCUAUUUAGUUGAACCUGUGCAACAUUUAAAGUGUGAAGUAAUUUUUGUUGGACUUGAAGCGACAAAGCACCUUGGUCGAUUAGGCCAUCCCCAACCCAUGGUGUCCAUGGGUGGUGUCUAGAGCAGUGAGAGAUCAAUAAAUGCAUAUAUGGACACUACCUCCCCAUUGCAUCGUUUAUAUACCAGUUUUCAUAGGCAAAAAAAAAUUAGUAGCUCUUUGCAUGUAACAUUAACAGAGGAGGGUCAGCUGUGGCAAGCAAGCAAGCAGACGCGGGAGGGGAGGCGCGCAGCAGGCAUGGUGACGGGGUAGGGCGCAGCGGAUCGAGAUGCGAGGAUUUUUUUUUGGGGGGGUGGGGUGGGGGGAGAGAAACGAGUCAUCCAACCCAACGCGGAUUUAGCUAGUUUCCAGUGCCUUGGAACAGCCGCCGAAACGGUGUCGCGCAUGCGACCUGGUUUCUAUGUUUUUGCUUCUUUCUCUUCUUUUAUUCCGUUGCCACAUCAACUUUUUGUCUAGUUGGCAGCCUAAUUAAUUCUAUGGAAACCAGGUGACAUGGAGGGUUGGGGACAUGGUGGAAAAAACCGGAACGGGCCGACAGUUCAACCGGAAAAAACCAGAACCCGUUCAGUUCAAAAGAAAGACCGGACAUGCAUAUGACCCGCUUUGAACCGGCAGAACCGGUCGGUUUUUCUAUGAACCGGUCAUUAAACCGUCCCCGGUUAGACCGAACAAGCCACAAUAAUCUUGAAAUGGGCCUUGAUGUGGCCCAAUUGGUCUGCCUAGAGCGUUUUGGUUGGCAAAAAUCAAUCUCCUAUUCUCGGCACGUGUGAUAUACAAUGGUAAGUGAGAUAUACAAUUCUCGGCACGGCUACAUUACAAGGUGUCGCAUUGUGUCAAUGUUUGGUUAAUUUGCUAGAUUCACAUAAUACAUGCCAGGAAGUUCAGAACAAUGUGUUGCCUUUCACCGGAAAACUUUGUUGGAGCAAAUGCCUUCUUCUUUUUUGCUUCUGCUUCUUGAGUCCAUGUGGAGGAAGCAGUAGAUAGCUGAUGAUAUCAGGAUUCCUUCUGUGUCUGUGUAGGUGUAGCAACACCACUAUAAUUUUUAUUUAGCAACACAAUAUCAAUUUGGUCUAUAAAAGUAUGAAUUAAAUCAAUCCCCAACCACAAUUAGAGUAAGUUGGUGAGUUAUUGUAAAGCUCUGCAAAGUUAAUUUAAAAGUUAUUGCAUUAACUUAUUUCGUAUCACAAACAAGUUUUCACAAGAGUAUUAAUGGAACAAUGAAAACCAUUGAACAUACUAUAAUUUUUUUUCUUACUGAAAUUAUAUAAUUCAAAGAGCAUAAACCCACACAGUCGUAAAGUUCCACGUGUAGUGCAUUAUCAAAAUAAUAGCUUACAAAACAUAACAAACUUAGUUUCAAAAGUUGCAAUCCUUAUCACAUUGACACAUAAAGUGAGCGAUGAGUCAUGUCAUUAUUUUUUUGCUCACCAUCAUGUAUAUAUGAUGGGCAUAAAAGUUACUUUGAUGAUGAUAUCAAAGAACAUUUUUAGGUGCACCUAACAGAAUAUCCAAAUAAUAUGACUCACUUAGAUCCUAAUAUAGCAUCAAGCAAAACUAACACUCUAAAGCAACCGAUAGGGAAACAUCUAUAAAUAGACAAGCAUAAUGAAAACCCUCCUCAUCCUUCACACAAUUCAAACAUUAUAGUUGAAGCAUAGUAGUAGAAUCCUACAAAAAUGAAGAUCAUUUUCGUAUUUGCUCUCCUUGCUAUUGUUGCAUGCAACGCUUCUGCACGGUUUGAUGCUCUUAGUCAAAGUUAUAGACAAUAUCAACUACAAUCGCAUCUCCUGCUACAGCAACAAGUGCUCAGCCCAUGCAGUGAGUUCGUAAGGCAACAGCAUAGCAUAGUGGCAACCCCCUUCUGGCAACCAGCUACGUUUCAAUUGAUAAACAACCAAGUCAUGCAGCAACAGUGUUGCCAACAGCUCAGGCUGGUAGCGCAACAAUCUCACUACCAGGCCAUUAGUAGCGUUCAGGCGAUUGUGCAGCAACUACAGCUGCAGCAGGUCGGUGUUGUCUACUUUGAUCAGACUCAAGCUCAAGCUCAAGCUUUGCUGGCCUUAAACUUGCCAUCCAUAUGUGGUAUCUAUCCUAACUACUACAUUGCUCCGAGGAGCAUUCCCACCGUUGGUGGUGUCUGGUACUGAAUUGUAAUAGUAUAAUGGUUCAAAUGUUAAAAAUAAAGUCAUGCAUCAUCAUGCGUGACAGUUGAAACUUGAUGUCAUAUAAAUCUAAAUAAAAUCACCUAUUUAAAUAGCAUUCAUGUAUGAGGUUGCAUUAUCAUAGCUAAUUACCAUCACAAAGAACUUUACAAUUACUAUGUGCAUGCAUUUGAUCCUAAGCUACUUUGGCUAUUAGAUACAAAUGGAGUGUAUUAAGCAAGUCCAACUUUUCAUUCUAAUAGGAACAAACUUGAAGCACAUAUGUCAAUUACUAUAUCCCCAACAAUUGAUACACUAUAGCAGUGGUUGCAAUGGCAGCUGCAGGAAUUGCUAGUGAACCCAACAGCCCAUAUAACUGAAUUGAAGCCAUGUCAGACAUCCGUAAUGAACAACAAAUAAUUCCAAAUAGUGCAUAACCAAUAAAUACUUAAAGAUUUGUCUUUCAACACUAAUGUUUGCAUUUCAUGCAAUUGUAUUGCUCUGGAAGCACCUUUUAACAGGUUGUAUCAUCACAUGCAUUACAUUGGAGGAUAAGGAUAUAAGAGAUCAUAUAUAGAAUAGAGGAUAUGGUGUUUUAGAAAAAGAAGAUGAAGAAUAUACAUUGUGAAACAGUGCAUGAUAUAGGCACAUCACUUAAUACAUUAAAAGCACUGCCAGAAAUCUAUGUUGGUGAACAAAUGCUCACUGGUUGUCUCACUUAUAUCACCAUUCACCAAGUUCACCGUAUGUAACAAGCACUUGGCCCCAUGGUUCCCCUUACCGUUUUUGACGCGGUUACCACAUGGUUACCGCAAAAAACCGUGUGGUAACCGUGAGACAUACCGUGGUUUCAAAAACUAAAAAGGUUACCGCGUGUGAUAGCCGCGCAGUUUUGUAAACCCUGCUUGGCCCUACACCACCCCAGCCAUUAAUUCUUGUCCUUCUCUGUACAACGCAACGAGGAAAUACAUCAUGGGCAUAGGGAAUAAUUAGCAAGUUUAGCAAAAAUGAAUGGCACAAUUGUAUAGCAUGAGUGAUGAUGCAAUGAGGAAACAUAAGAACAUCAGCCAGGUGUUUCUCCCCCUCAACUCCUGCUUGUCCCAAGCAAAACAAAAAUGUAGCUUUGGUUCAGUCAAGGCGAGUCAGUCCAGCUAGAGAUUAACCACCUUAUUAUUACUAUUUUUUUAUUAUUACUACCCUAGCUUACCCAAAAAAAUGAACAUUUUUCAUUUUUAAUUUUAAAAAUAAAUCCAUCCAAAACUUAUUUUCAAGAUUUGAACAUUUGACCACGCCAACUAAACUGGCGUGUCAAAACAAUACCGUCAUGCCACUCCCGCUGGUCACACCGGCGGGGACCGACCUCACUGGUAGGGGUGGACAAAAAAGCUUGGGCUCGUGAGCUCGGCUCAAGCUUGGCUUGGGCUCGCAUAGCUCGGCUCGGCUCGAAAGCCAAACGAGCCAAGCCCAAGCCUCCUUCCUACCUCGUUUCCGAAACGACCCAAGCCCGAGCUGGCUCACGAGCCACUCGUGAGCUCGCUUGGCUUGGUACAAUAGGGUCAUAUGCAAAAAAAAAUUACACCUUUUCUAACUAUUUAUUUGUUGAAAAUUAUAACUUUGAUUGUCAUAUUAUCUAUUUAUGUGUUGUGAUGACAUAUUAAAGAAAAAUAUCGCUUUAUUACACAUUCUAUGUGGUAAAAUAUUGCUCAAUUUCUCCUAGUCUUGCUUGAGAUUUACUUGAUGCCAGGCUCGCUUGGCUCGGUACAAUAGGGUCAUAUGCAAAAAAAAUUACACCUUUUCUAACUAUUUAUUUGUUGAAAAUUAUAACUUUGAUUGUCAUAUUAUCUAUUUAUAUGUUGUGAUGACAUAUUAAAGAAAAAUAUCACUUUAUUACACAUUCUAUGUGGUAAAAUAUUGCUCAAUUUCUCUUAGUCCUGCUUGAGAUUUACUUGAUGCCAGGCUCGCGAGCUAGCUCGAGCUGGCUCGAGCCCAUAAACGAGCCGAGCCGAGCUGCAGUUUUAGCUCGUUGUUUGUAGCGAGCCAAGCCAAGCCGAGGUUCCCUUGCACCAAGCUUUCAUGAUUCCACCCCUACUCACUGGUGUGGCAGCGUUAUUUGGCCACGCGUGGCAGGAUAAAACCGUCACGUCCGCUACAGGUGGUGUGCCAGUGUCAUCUUGUCACACUAGAUGAGCUAGUGUGCCUAAAAGGUUCAAAUUUUAGAAAUAAUUUUGAAAGGGUUUGUUUUUAAAAUUUAAAAUUAAAAAGGUUCAAAAAAUUAAAAAAAAUCCCUAGCUUACACACCGGAAAUGAACUAGAAACUUAAAGGCAUGUGAGCUUCUAACGAGCACACGUUCCAUUAGGUAAUCUGGCAUAUGUGACAUAUAGUAAGGGCUCUAUUUUUUUAAUUAUUUGCUGGAUUAUUAAAAUAGAUUAUUUUCACCCAUCCCAUAGCUGGUGAAAACAUUCCCCACGCUGUUCCGAAUAACAAUGCCGACGCUACCAAUUUAUUUUCACCCAUCCCAUAGCUGGUGCCUGCCACACACCUGCCACUUGGGUUCUUUCCCCGCACCCAUUCACAUCACUUUGUCUUCCCUCCGACACAAUUUUUCCUUUCUCAUUUUCCAGCGUUGCACUGCCAGACGGGCACAAGGAAUUCCAUAGAUUCAGAAGGAAAGAUGCAGAGCCCUUUACCGUCGCUUGCCCAGAACCGAAGACACAGUCAUUACGCAGGUACCAAGCUCGCCAUAGGACAAGGAGAAACUGCGCCCGCUCGUUUUCGCUCAGCUUAUCGAGUCCCCCAAGAAGCCACCCUGGGCCUAGCUUCGACAGGGAACGCUUAUCCGGUAACCUCCAGCUCGCCCGCAGAGUUUCACGGAGGGCCCUUGGCCGGGUACAUGAAAUCACCGCGUGAAACUCGUCUUCCUCCCCCUGGCCGCAGAUAGUACAGGUCGCAACUGCUUGCAGCUUUCGUUUACACCUGUUCUUCUGGGUAGCCAGAUAAUUUCGGGCUAGACGCCAGGCGAAAAUACGGACCUUUGGUGGCACAGGUGUACUCCAAAUUCUUCGCCAGAUGGAGCGAUCACCGUCCGUUUCUCUACUACUGCCUUCUCCAUCCGGAUGGAACUUGUUCAGCCACGCUAAACGAUAAGCAGACCUCACCGAGAAAAUCCCUGAUUUUUCGUAGUGCCAAGCUAGGAAAUCCUCAUCCUGGUAUGGCGACAAAUUGAUUUUCAGGAUCUCUUCCACAUCAAGUGGGUGACAGACGUGCUUGAUCAGAUCAACGUCCCAGCUCUUUUCCCCUUGUUUCAGCAGCUGCGAGACCCAGCGAAGACGGCAGCGUCCGCUCCUUCCCAUAAGCAUGAGAGAGGAGGCUCGGGGAAUCCAUUUAUCCCGCCAAAUCCUGACCUUGGUCCCAUCCCCAAUUCGCCAUAUAAGUCCUGUCUUCAGCAACUGCAACCCAUGUUCAAUCCCUUUCCAUGUCGGAGACGCUUCAGCCGGGAAGACCGCAUCUACUAGUUCACAAUUAGGAUAAUACUUAGCUUUUAAUUAGGAUAUAUAUAUGUAUAUAUAUAUAUGUAUAUAUUGUAAUAUUCCAGUAUUCCACCCCCCCCCCCCCCCCCAACCCCAAAACAACAAAUCAGUUUUCAAGUUAAGCUCACUAGCAAAUCGACAAAAAAAAAAAGGGCAGUCCAGCAUAUAUAUAUAAACGUUCAUGCACAAUGUACAUGUACAUACGAAUUUAUUAGUUCUUUUUCUCAAUGUUCAGAUAAGUUUUGUUGAGUGAUAAAUAAUCACUGUACACUAUAUUGUUAUUUUUUUAAGGAAAUCUUUCAUCAUUGUUUGUACUGCAUCGAAGAGAAAAAUGGGUGUGUAAAUGCACAUUCUCUCGCGAGAGAUUAAAAUCCAUCUUCUAUUUUGCCUUUUUUUUCUCUAUAAUUUCUAGUGGAUAUCGAUUGAGAACAGCUAGAAAUUACUUAUAAGCAUAUUUUUCAUGGAUUCUAUUUAAGAUACAAAACUACUACACAUGGGUACAUGCUAACCAAGGUUUACAAAUGCAAAAGCGAAUAGAAAUUUGCUGUGCCGAGCUGUUUUUCAAAAAGAUUAUAUUCUUUUCUCCCAAAGAUGAAGAUGAAGAUUAAUUUUUUUCGUAAAACGAGGUGAUAUUAGCAUAUGAUUGAUUGAGUUUUAAUUAUAACAAACUUGAAAAUAGAUUAAUAUAAUAUUUUAGAACAACUUUCAUAUAGAAAGUUUCCACACGAAACGUACAGUUUAGCAGUUUGAAAAGCUUGCUACAAAAAUCUUAAUCUUCAUCCAACAAGAAGAACGGAACCUAAACGAUAGAUCUGAAUCCAUGACUUGAACAUGCAUGAACAGUACGGUGAGUUAAAGAGAUACAUUUCGAUCCAUGAUUUAAACAUACAUACAUAACUGGGUGCAGAUAUUUGGUCAUUAUUUAUUGUAUUUGUAAUUAUAUACGUACUCAUAAAAAUUAUUAAGAACGCAGUAAAUUCAUAAAAUUAAGCAGUUUUCAUGGCGAAUCUAAUAACAUUAUUUUCACAUAUAACAUUCGGAUAUUUUGCCUAUCAUGAGAUAGUUCGUAUAUCUAAAUUAAUCCCCAACGAUUUUCUAGCAGUGAUUCAGAUAUCACAGGCUAAUCUCGUAAUACAUAAAGAUGAUUAUGUUCAAAACAUGAUUUAGGUUAAAAAAAUUCCAAGCGAAUCCGUAAACUAUAUUCAUGUUUCAGAUAGCCGGCCUUUGGUUGAUUAUGAAAAACGAUUAUAUUAUUCACAUUUUAAAUAGUUUUGUGCUAUAGACAUGUAUAUGAAAGACAAAACGAGUUAAAGAAAACUUUUUUAGAAAAAAGAAACUGUGUGACCACGAUCUUGAUACAGGAAAAGUUUGAAUUAGUAUGUUCAAUUCUGUUCAUGUACAUUUGCUAUAUAUAUUAUUGCCUUCAUUUGCAAUUAUACUGAAUACUCGCUCGAGGAAUAAAUCGGUACAUGUACGCAUGCCUCUCAAUAAUUUGAAUGUGAAUUUGAGAGUACGUAGUUCAUCUCAUCAUAAUCAUCCACACCCAAAUAAAUUACUACAUUCCGAUUACUCAUAAAUAAUAGGUAAAACUAAUUUCAAUUUGACUUGAUUUCAUCAAUGGAUCUUCAAAUCAAAUCAAAUUUCAAACCCAUCCAUCAGCAGUUACCAAUCCUGCCAUCCCCGGCAUCGGUGAAGAACCUCUUCCAGAACCAAUGGCGGCGCCACACCGUGUCGACCAUCUCGUCGAUGGGCACCCCCUUCGUCUCCGGCAGCAGCCAGAAGACGAAGGCGGCCAUGAUAACGAUCCAGAUAGCGAAGAAGAAGAAGAUGAAGGCCUUCAUACUGCACAUCAUGGAGAGGAAGGCCUGCGCGAUGAGGAAGGUGAAGAGCAUGUUGGAGCUCACGGCGAAGGAGAACCCCGUCGUCCUCGUCGCCAGGGGGAAUGUCUCCGACGGGAUUAGCCACCCCAGGGGCCCCCACGACCACGCGAAGCUCGAGACGUAGACGCAGAUGAGCACCACGAUCGCCACCGCCCACUUCUCGCCCGGAUUGCCGUUCGCCUUCACGUGUUCCCACAUGAUCGCCCCCACCGCUGUCUGCCAUGGAUCUUUCAUGUUAGUUUGUAGAACUAAAGGAACGCGAAUGCUAAGAAAUGACCUAAUAUCAGAUAAUUAGAAGGGGUGAGGCUUCGAAUACAGGUCGUCCCCACCAUCUUGCGGAGCUAGCCGGAAAACCUCUUGCCGUUUUUUGGGUUUCUCGAACUGGGAGAGGACUUAUGUAAAAGUUUAUAUUAAAAAUUAAUAUAUGUUUCAAAAUUUAAAUGUGUAGUGUAUUUAAAAGGAAGUUAUAGUAAAAUUAUAUAAUAAAAAGAUAUAUUUAAGUGCAUCAUAUAUUUAAAAAGAAAAGGUAACAUAAACAUGUACUCCCUCCGUUUUUUUAAUAGAUGACGCCGUUGACUUUUUCUCACAUGUUUGACCAUUCGUCUUAUUUAAAAAAUUUACGUAAUUAUAAUUUAUUUUGUUUUGGGUUGUUUUAUCACUCACAGUACUUUAAGUGUGAUUUAUAUUUUAUACAUUUGCAUAAAAUUUUUGAAUAAGACGAAUGGUCAAACAUGUAAGAAAAAAUUAAUGGCGUCAUCUAUUAAAAAACGGAGGUAGUAGAAAAAACUAUAUUUUAAAAGCCAACUGUGUUAUAUAUUUAGAAAUAGAGAUAUAUAUACAAAUAUGUAAUAUGUUUAAAGGCUAAAUUGCUUCGUGUGUAAUAUAUGUAAUAUAUUACCUGUGCGAUGAGCAUUUGGCCGCAGGCCUGGAGGAGGAGCCUGCGGCGGCCGAUCUUGUCGACGGCGACGAUGGAGACGAGCGUGGAGACGACGUUGACGCCGCCGGUGACGACGGCGGAGAGCAGCGACCCGUUGCUCUUGAACCCCAUGGUCUGGAAUAGCACGGGCGCGUAGAACAUGAUGGCGUUGAUCCCCGUGAACUGCUGGAACACCUGCAUCGCCACCGCGAUCACCAGCGGCGGCCUCGACUCCCGCCGCCGCAGCCUCCGGUACGCCGACUCCUCCGCGCUCAGCGCCGCCGCCGCCUCGCAUGCGCGCGCGAUCUCGUCCAGCUCGUCGCCGACGUCGCGCGUGCCGCGGAUCCUCUCCAGCGUGGCGCGCCCGGCGUCGCGCCGCCCGCGCUCCACGAGGCUCGUCGGCGUCUCGGUGAUCACCAGCGAGCCCAGGAACAGCACCGCCGCGGGCACUCCGGCGCCGCCGAGGGAGUACCUCCACCCGGUGCUCGGGUGGGCGCUCGAGGUGAAGUAGUUGACGACGUUGGCGAUGAGGAUGCCGAUGGUGACGUCGAGCUGGAAGAGGAUGUUGAGCGCGCCGCGGAUGUGCGCCGGCGCGAUCUCCGACAGGAACAGCGGCGCCGCCUGGUUGCCGAACCCGACGCCGACGCCGAGGCAGAUCCUCCCCACGAUCAGCAUCGCCAGGUUCGCCGCGCCGGCGCACAGCGCCGUCCCGCCGAGGAAGAACACCGACGCGAGCUGCAUCGUGCGCCGCCGCCCCAGCCGCGUGCACAGCCUCGACGCCGCGAAGCUGGCGGCCAGCGCGGCGAGGUACAGCGACGAGGUGAACAGCUGCAGCCGCUGGUCGUCGAACUUGCAGUAGUUGUUCUCCCUCGCGCGGUGCUUCCGCGCGUACACCGACGGGAAGAACUUGAUCAGGAAGCCGUCCAUGGCGGUCACGCCGCCGGAGAUGCCGACGUCGUAGCCGAACAUGAGCCCGCUCGUCGCCGCGAUGAUGCCGCACAGCCACACGUACCACGUGAUCUUCCCCUUGAACUCCCGCCGCUCGCCGCCGCCGGCGACCUUGGCCUCGACGGCGAAACCACCCGCCAUUGAUGACGUCAACGACGACGACGAGAUCAAUCAAAUGGAGAUGAUGAGGAAGAAGAUGACCAAGAGGUGGUCGAGUAUAUAUAGAGGAUUUUAUUAAUGGAGAUAAGAUGUGGAUAAAUUGGAGUGAUCUCAUGCAUUCGCAUGCAGAUAAAAUAAAUUAAAAUUGAAUUGAAUUUGAAUUAAACUUGGUCAACGAACAGAUUAACUGAAGGGGUUUAAUUAAGCAGAUCGGAUUAGUUACUAGCUAGAACUAAUCAGGAUAGAGUUUUCCGGGGGGUUUUUUUGGGGGUUUUUUUCACACGGUGACGGUGACAUGCAUGCAGUUUAGGGGAGUUGGAUUAGUCCUUUUUUAAGGAAUUUAUAGUUGGAUUAAUGGUUAGGAGUAAUUAGGAUUAAUCGGAUCAGCCGAUCUCAACAGUGACCAGUUCUCCUGCGACAAGCCCGUUCGUUCUCUUGACACGUGGCACCAAUUCAUUCGCUCUCAAUCUAUUAAUGGUAAUUUAAUCUCCAACCCAAUCCAAAUGCAAAAAUUGAAAGAAAAAAAAACGCGUUUCUCACAAGAUGGACUGUUCCUGUGAUGACUAUUUUUGUCUCUACAGGCCGUCCUAAACUCGUAAAUAUAUUAUCUCUACCGUGUAUUUUAUUAUUUUUUUGAAAAAAAAAAGUAUGCACAAAAAUGGAUUUUGGCCAUUAAUUUAUCUCUAUUGAUUUUUGAAAAAACCUUUACAUGAUUUUUAUCUGUCGCUCUGUUCUGCUUAUGCCAAAGAUGGACGUUGUGCAAAAUUGAAUUGAUCAAGAGCAGCUUGUGCACAGUAAUUCUCUGUUGUAGUAUGCCUUUUGCCUCGAAACUGAUUAAAACAGAACCCAAAAUAAAGAGCAUGAGUUAACUAAAGAAAGUUAACCCGUAAUCUUGAUGCUAUAGCAUGCUUCAAAAUUAUACCCUCGAAUGCUAAAAAAAUAGUACUCCCUCCGUUUCAUAAUGUAAGUCAUUCUAGCAUUUCCCAUAUUUAUUUUGAUACCAAUAAAUCUAGACAUAUAUAUCUAUCUAGAUUCAUUAGCAUAAAUAUAAAUGUGGGAAAUGCUAGAAUGACUUACAUUGUGAAACUGAGAAAGUACAGGUAAUAAUCAUCACUUAUAUUUGUCGAAGAACAAUAUGAAAAGAAAGCUAUCAAGCAGGUGCCUUAUUGCAAAGUUACAAUACACACUGGCGAAUGAACUGCAAACUUAACUUAUGUGUCACUAACAACUUAGAAACGAGCAAACAAAAACCAGUCAGUUCAUCGUCUUAGACUAAAACAGGCACCCUGCAGACAAGUGCCUUGAUCAAACGGUUUUUACACGGCAAACCAACAGACGAAAAUUCACCAGUUAAACACAUUUCAGCAUCUCUUCGUACGCAUAAGAACUCUUCAAGCUUCUGAGCUUCAUCAGGUGUUUCUUUGACCGCCAUAAUGUUUCUUUCAAACUCCUCGCCUUAUCUCUGCGAAUUCACACAUAAUAUGAGCUUAGGGAAACAUUGCAGAAGAUAUUGGCCAUGUUUUAAUUGGCUGGCGAAAAUCGUAUGCUACCUGAAAUGUGGUUCUGGGAGCUCAUUCUGAGAUAGGCUUGCGAACCAAAAAGAAGUACAUCGGCGUGAAGAUUUCCUUCCUGUAGUUAAUAUAUUUGCAUUAGAACUUUGCAUGAAGUAUUAAACAGGAGAGGAAAUGGAAAAACAGACAGCUGAACUGGAAUUCCAGAAUUCGUGACAAUUAUGUUGCUUUUCUGAUUCCUGGUGCUGAAAUAUGAAUCAGAGACAGACUUACUUGCCACCUUCGACGAGACCUUCAGCUGCCUUCUCUAAAAAGUUAGAUACCCUUUCACUUCCUUGUGGGGCAAGGCCGACGUAUUCCAAUGCCUUCACCUAAAAAAUAACAGAAGAGGAUCUCAAUUCCAUUUCCAUGCGAAUCAAGAGUGAAUAUAUACCAUGAUUAAAUCAGGCUGUUAUGGCCAGUUACAGUGGACAAAGCAGCCUGAUCUUUGAAUAUUCAGUGUAACAAAGUUUUGAUCGAAUUUACCAUACAAGCAAUUUAGCACAUCUGCUGAGCAGAUUAUGUCAAGUCUACCCGAAAUUUGAUACUUCUAGAAAAAAAAUAGUAUAGUACUUUUAAACUUUGCUAGCUAUUAGUAUAAUUGUUUGUUUUAUUUAUUGUAAAUGUCCAAAGAAUGACUUUUCUAGCUAGCCCUGGUAGAACUUCUAUAGGUUUUCAUGUUACAUAAACUAUUACAUGAACCAUUGUUCUCAAAACCACUUUUAAAGGCAGCAGGGAACCUAAAACUUCAUUAAUUAUUUUCCACCACAAGAUUGGUGUGCCCCCGAAUGUUCAUUGGUAUUAGGCCACAUGUCACUGAAACAAUGGAGUGGCACUAAAAUGCACCCUCUUUGGGAUGCCAACUCCUCAAUUUUAAGCUUUUUUCUGUUCAGAGGGAGGAAUUUGAUAAGAAAGAAUGUCUAUAGUACGCUUUACUCCAAGGGACAAAUCAAACUUGAUUUCACUGUGCAUCUUGAACAAUCAACUCAGAACAUAAGGUGUAGCAACAAUAAAGAAUGACUACAGAUGUAUCUGUUGGCCUUACCAUUGUGCGAGUAAUUGCACGCCCCACAGUAGUCAGACGGAAGCUACUCAAGGAAAACCGGCUUGGAUCCAAGGGCAGGUACCAAGGAACCGGGGAAUCUUCAGCAAGGUCUUUAUCCCAAAUAACCUUCACAGAAAAAAAAAUUAUGCCCAUGGGAAAGGAAUAACAAAUAACAGAAGUGUUCAUGAAACUGUGCUGCUUUGAAAGAAAACUGCUGUAACUGGCCAGAGUUUCUAAACUAACAAUAGAGGUGGGCUACUCUUCCAGCCAUGGGUUUUCCUCAGGUAAACCCAAACACACAAUCAAACAAAAGAGAGGUAAAGCACAGCGUCUACAUUACCUCAAACCCAGCAUCUUUUGCAGCUUGAAGACAUUGUUGAGUGCUUCGGAUAUCUGGCAGGCCAUUGCCAAGCUCGAUUUCAUCCUUGAUCCUCUUGUGUGUUGCAUUGUUCGGUUCAUAGUGAUCAGUAAUACACCACUCAUACACAGCAAAACACUGGCCAGGCUUCAAUACACGAUAGAUCUCCUUAUAGCAGCCAACCUUUGACAUGAAAAAACCAAUUGACUUUGUGUCGCAAGGAGGGAUUAAAGUUGAUGAUGAGUUUUAAUAUACAAGCAAUAAUUUGCAAUCAUACCGGAUCAGGUGCGUGGCAUGUUGCCUCAAUGGCAUAGACAGCAUCAAAAGUGUUAUCAGAAAACGGCAUCUUCAUGAAGUCUGCCUGUAUAGAGACCAAUAUGUAGAAUGUAACUGUUUGUCCUUCAGCUUAUAUAUAUUGUCAAAUAAGUCUUCUCUGUACAGCUAAGCAAGUGCAGAGAGUCUACGCAAGGUAAUUUGCAAUAUGUGAUGGUUGCUGGAAAGGGAUAAAUAACAUUUGCACAGAGAUGCAGCUGCAAAUAGAUGAUUGACUACUAAAAGAUGGGGGAAAGAGGCAAAGAGCCAAAAAGAAUGUCUAUUUUAGCUAACUAUACCUUCACAAAGUCGCAAGUUCCACUAACUCCUGCUACCCGAUUAAGCUCCUGGAUAUUAAAACAAAAAUCUUAUGUCAACACAGGAGUAAUGUGAUGAACAGCAAACGCUGAAAACUGUUUACUAAUCUGAAGUUCUUAACCAUAUGCAGAAGUAGAGUAAAUCAAAUUAAGUAAGGGAACAUCAAUUAACCUUUCCCCUAGUUAUCUGGUACUCAUUGUUGUUCAAUCCAGUGACUGAAGCCAAGCUGCAGGAAACAGCAGAUCAUGGCCACAUUAGUCAUCUCUAGUUCAUAAUCCAUAGUGAGGGGAAAAAAAGAGAAGUUUCCACACUUUUGAGGACAGUAUUUUAGCAGAAAAUGGAUCAUCAACACUGAUAUUUGGGAAAAAGAAAUGCCCUAAGUAAACAAUGAGCUCAAUGCCAUCUUCACCCAAAAAAAUAACAUAUAAUGAGGAAGUACAGGGUUGAUACUUAACGACGUUGUCCUGGCACCAUUAUCCAAGAUCAAUUUACCACACGUUUAAUUUUUAAAUGUCAAAUAUUUAUUAUGCAUAUUAAAAUUUCUGGCCCAAACACAUUACAAGCAAGUGGACAGAAGGCCCAUGAAUCAAACCUAAAUUUGGCAAUUUCUCUUAGUGGUCCGCCUAUUCCACAACCGACGUCCAAAACCUACAGUAGGGAAGUGAAGUUAACACUUUCAUUCUAAUGUUGUAGUGUAGAACCAGCAGGAAAUCUUUAUGAUAGGUUUAAAUAGGAAAAUUAACCUUCAUUCCUGGUUUCACUCCAAGCUGAAGGGCAAGAAAGUGCUCAUGUCGCUUAAUGCUUUCACGUAGGGAUUCUCCAUUCCAUCUAAAACAUUCAGGAACAUGACAAGUUUCUGUCACUAGAUGUCAGGUAAUAUGCAAAACUUCAACUACGUUCUCGUAUUUCAUUACAAUGAGCACAGAUGAUCUCUCUAAAACCCUCACCUGUGAGCAAAGUGGAAGGAUUCACCCCAACCAUACUCAUAGAAGCUGGUGGCAAGAUCAUAGUAUUUAUUAACCUGAUAAGGCAUUAAUGCAUUAGUUGCUAAUAUAAAAACUGAAAAACCCAAAAUUAUCUCCAAUUAGCAUGGGGUAAAUGGGUGAUGCAGCAAACAAAAAAUUGUCACAAACUCUAAAUUUGAAGGUUUCCUUCUUUCAAACAGAAUAAAGAGGGGUUCAAUUAGAAAUAUGUGACUAAAAUACAAUUGACAUAUAGCAUAAACAGCAGAACCUAGAAUAUGUGUACUGUCUUGCUUCAACACUCAACAUGACAAUUUAAAAAGCACAAUAUUUGAGUUGUCUUAGAUAUCUCUUUGAAUCAGUCGUGCUUAGUUAAAUUUAUAAUCUAGUCAAGAAGAACUGAAGAUUAACAGCUUUUUAUCGUGCAAAAGUUGAAGCAAAUUACAGACAAACAGUUGAAGCAAAUUAUGCAGAUAUAAUCCUUUUAACUGAGCAUCUAGAAAAUGACUUGAGUAGGAAAGCAACAAAUUUACAAAAUAAGAUAUUCACAAAAAUGUAAUAAUUCUGUCUUCUGAGAGACUAAGAUGAUUUACCAUGUCUGUGUAGUUGGACUUUCUUGCUUCUUCUUUUCCUCCAUAGUAUCCAUGGUAUUUCUCAUACCUUGCAAAACCAAUUUAUUUAAAAUAAAUAACAGUAAAAUACAGGCCAAGUUCUGAGCACAAAAAUCCUUUUUCUGAGUGUCAAUAAAAUUCUUGCUAAGCAGUUGAUAUGUUUUUUAUACAGGGUAAAUAUUGAAUGUAUUGACAAAUUCUUAAUAGAAUGUGCUAAAACUGGCAUAGAUAGAGAUAGUUUAAAAGAGGAUAAGCUUGUUUUAAUAAUUCUGUAAUGGUGCCACAGUAUGUACUCCUUUCCUUGAUUAACCAUAGAGCAUAGUUUGACCUUGCACGAGAAAUCAAGGAUUAAAGAGGUGACAAAGGUGAUGAAACAUUAGAGAAGAUGACGUGGGUGCACUCUCAUUAUUGAUUCAGAAAGAUGAGCGAGCAUACUUUGUGGCAGUAACAAAUAAAAGCAAAUGAGAAGGAGUAAAAGACAUGGGAAUGGUAGAAAAAGCUCAUAUCUUAUAUUUAUUGCUGGGUCUUUGGAAUAUUAAUGGGAGGGGAGUACAAUACGUAUGGACAAGUUGGCAUGGCUUGAAGUAGCCUAUAUAGUGAUGGCCUGAUGGGCGACCACAAAGCAUCACAUUCAAUACACAUGAUAAAAACCUAGUACUAUUCUAAUAAGAUGAAAUAGGUGCAAUGCAUCAGGAGUUUUCAGAUGUCCAGAACUGCUACCACCAAAAAAGAAGAAGAAAAUUUCUGGGUGCAGAACGAAAAGUCGAGCAAACAACAGUGAGAAAUUACGAAAUCAGUGAAUCUGUGCUUUCCUUGUUUAAUCUCAGUCAUACAAACUGAAUUCUGAACCCUGAACUCUGAAGAGAUGCAUUCAAGUACAGCACAGCAGACAUGCAAGUACAGUACAUCACCAGAAUCAAACCUGCAUAUCUAAAUCUAAAUCUAAAUGCCAACAAAAAUAAAAGAGAGAGAGAAAAUAAUAAUCAACCAACGCAGAGAAACAAAGAGCAGAAGAUGCUUUACUCAUCGACAGCCGACUUGACCUCAUCCUUGGUGAUCUUCCCCCCGAGUCCAGAUGCAAGAUCCAUGGCCCCAGACCUCGACAUCGCGGCGUCGAUCACCGGAGCUCCACCUGCAACCAACAGCAGCAAAGUUCCUCACGGAAAUCAGGAGCAUCCACCUCCUCACUUUCCUCCCAAAUCCGAACAAACCACACACAUAUAUAUUCCAAAAAAAAUUCAAACGGUAGUGCGAAAGGGAUGGAUAUGAUUUAUUUUCUUCACCCUUUUUUGCCCGUCCCUUUCCCCCCAACCUCUCCUCCUCAUCUUUUCACCCCCAAACAAAGAACAAAAAUACUAGCCAAUCACCCAGGCCGCAAAUGCGGUGUACCAAUCAGCCGCCGAUCAGGCCAUGGAUGGAGGAGGCCGCACGGCGAGCAGGGCCACGAUCCCGUGACGGUAGGGCGCUCCCCCCCCCCCCCUCCUCUCUCUCCCGGGGAUGGGUCUGGAACUCGAGAUCGCGACAGAGCCGAGCCGAGACGAUGCGUGCGAUAGGAGCAAUGCAUGUGCGCCGGCGAGCGGACGCGGGAGGAGGAGGACGAGGAGGGGAGGUGCUUACCGGACGGUGAGGGCGGCGGCGGCGGCGGUCGCCGGAGACGAGAACUCCGGCCGGCGAGGAGGGAGGUGGGGAGGAUGGGGUGGCUUCUCUCCCUCGCGUGGGUUUUAUCGUGGGGUUGCAUCUCGGCUCAAUAUUGAUUAUUUUUUUCUAUUUUUAUUAUAUAAAAUAAUACUCCAUCUGUCCCCCAUAUAUAUAUAUAUAUAUAUAUAUAUAUAUAUAUAUAUAUAUAUGGGGGACAGAUGGAGUAUUAUUUUAUAUAUAUAUAUAUAUAUAUAUAAAUAAAUAAAAGAACCUGAUACUGGAUGGGAUAAUCCCUAGUUAAGUUUUUUAAGAUAAUGAUAAAACUUUCAGUAUCUAAACUAACUAGACUUGCACGCUAAAAUACCUGGAUUUGAACGAAUUAUUAUGGAGUGGCUACUUAAGCCCGGUUUCACGUAUUGAUAGGAGUAUGAAGUUUGUGUGUUAAAUUAUAUUUGUUCUAAAAUUUUGGAUUUCAUCUAAAUAAUAGGAAAAUAAUGAUUUAUUUAAAUGUUAUUAAUAUAAUCGUGAAUCCAGAUCUAACGAUUUAUGAAGUUACGAAUAUCAGUUUCAAAAAAUUUUGGAUCUAGAGCUACGUGCCUAUGUCGAAGAGGGCCCUAAUUUAUGGUUUCUAAUUUUAUUUUCUUCUAUUAUAUGAAAGAUAUAUGGCACAUCCUACUUCAAAUAUGUCUUUUAACACAUGUUAAAAAAGACAAAGGCUAAUAAAAUGCUCUAACAUCACUGAAAACUUUUAAAAGCGUGCUUUUAUCGUAGAGGAGAUGGUAAUAAAUAAAGUUUUUGAGAAAAUAAGUCCAAGCAUGCAAAUUUGUGCAUCAUCAUUCUUCUUCAACUACGAAAUACUUCCUCUAUCUCAUAAUAAGUUUAUUUUUAGCUCAUUUUAUUUGUUUUAAAAUAAAUUUAAUUUUAGAGUAACCAUUGCAUCGGAGUUUGUGAAAGUAGCGAACAAUUGUACUCCAUUUGAAGUAGAUAAAAUCGGAAAUGGUUACAUUGAGAUUUGAUAAAUUAAGGGUUUGUUAGGCAUAGCUCUAGCUCUAUCUCUCCUGAAAUUAUAGUCCAAUCAAACGGUUUCAGUUUCACCCAAAAUGCGAGCGGAGUUGGUUGAAAUACUUUUACAAAAUGAACUAGAGAUGUGAAACUGGGUUUAGGCAGCUCCACCUCCACAACUCCAUUUCAAACCCUAACUCCUAAAGUUAAAUUUAAGAUAUUGAGCCCUAUCAAAUGAGAAGUUAAAUUUAUAAGUUAGAGGCCUACCAAAUAGAAUGCGUGUUUGGUAGGGCUCCAACUCUCAAAUUUAACUCUAUGAGUUGGGGUUUAGAGUGGAGCUGUCUAAACCUAGCUCCACCUUUUUAGUUCAUUUAUAGAGCAUUUUUGUCAGCUUCACUUCUUUUUGAAUAAAGCUAAAAUUAUUUGGUUGGACUCUAGCUUCAGGAAAAAUGGAGCUAGAGCAAACCAAAUAGUUCAUAUAUGUUCUUGGCAGCUCUUUAGCUUACAAGCUUCAGCUAUAUUUAAAAUAUAAAGGUUGGUUUAAAGUUAUUUCAACUUUCUUCCGUUGUUUUCUAUUUUUCAGCAUCAUAUCAACUCAAGUCGUUAAAAGUAAAAGUAUAAAAUCCUAGAGCCCUAUACAAUUAUUUUCAUUGUUUGGGUCCCGCAUCAUAGCUUAUAUAGCCACACUAAAAAUCUCAGCGAAGGAAAAAAAAAGAAAGAAAAGAAAAACAUGCACAUCGACGAUGAACUGUCACCGUAGAGCCUAGUAGAGCAUUAUAUAGCUUCAUCUAAUUCUAAUAAGGUGCAAGAUAGUGUUUGCGAUAGAUUAAGAUGAAGAUAAAGUAGAGCUGAAAAAACUAGAAAAUUAUUAGCGCAUAACUAAUUAAGUUUAAAUAUUAUAAAUUUAAAAAAUAGAUUUGUUCGAUAUUUCAAAGCAACUUACACAUAGACAUUAUUUAGCAAUUUAAAAAACAUGUUAAUAAAAAUUAAGUUAAAAUUUAUAUGUUAAUUCGAAAAUAAUGUGCACGGUCAAGUACUUAGCUUAAAAAAGGUAACCAGCUAGUACUAGCAGGGAGAAACAGUGUCCAGCUGCUGCUGCGGCAAGAGCCUGGAAUGAGGUGGAUCCUGCCAAGCCAGCAUUUUGAAGACAUCAUAGCUAGGCUGUCGUGCGUCCAAAAAUAUAGCAAUGUUGGCGAAAUAAAAUAGUCACAAACCAACAACAUAGCGCCAUAGCGAUAUAUUAGGCGUUCAAAAAUAUAGCUUCCCUACCAACUCAUUAAUCCCUUGGUUCUAGAUUUAAUACGGAUACUUAUAUUUAUAACUAACUUUUUUUUAUGGUAGGUAACGUACCUGUCUUCUGAAGAUGAUUAUAGAGAUAGAGUGUGCUUAUGUACACAUUAUGAACAUCUACAUUUAUAUAUACUUUUAAAAGCACUUUAAUACACUAUAUAAUAGAGUUAUUUUUUAACCGUACGUGUAGUCGAACUGGUGAGCCAGCGAUCGAUCACUAUUUUAUCUAGAGAUGGUAACGGGGCACCACCCUAUUCACUACUCGUGACUCAUGAGCACGCAUCAAUCAGAUGAAAUUUUUACUUAUCAGAAAUUGGUAAAUUGAGUUGGAAAAAUUAAUCAAACCUAUAAAUAAAAUUCACAAUUAAACUGCAGUAAGGCCUGCCACCUUUGAAACACGAGAAUUGUUUUUAUGCCUAACGGAAUUUAACUAACUAAUUCAUCUGAAAAUAUCGUAAAAUUUGCGUGAAUAAUUAAGGAGACCGUGGCAACAAAGAUGUGCAGCUGCGUAUUCAUUUAUCAAAGAAGGAAAAACGUAAAUAGCUGAAGUUAAUUUGGUGUAAUAUAAUAUAAUAUCAAAAUAUAAUAAUUAGUAUUGGAUUGAACAUAUACCAACACUACAAAUUUAUCAUAAUAUUAUAGUUUGAAAUCGAGGGAGUACUUUGUUAACGACAAAUGGCGUAUACCAUCAGUACAGUACUAGUACUACUUAAUUCGACCGUUUGCUGACAAGGAAUUGAAGCAAAAACGACAUGAAAUCGGAGAGAGCUGACUGCACUAAUCAGAUUCACACAUAUUUUUCAUUUCUAUCGUAUCAAUCCAACUUGCAUUGAUUGCUUUUAGUUGAAGCGGUGAAUUCAUGUUUUGGUGUGUAUGAAAUCAUCAUGCAGGUAGUUGGGCGAUUUUGUGAAAAUUACGAAGAUGAUAUACGUACCAUAACGCAGUCGGAUGGCAGAUAGCGUAGUUCGUAUUCGUACAGCAGCUCUAGUAAAUUAUUUGUCCGAUUUUAAUAGUUAAGGGUAUACAAUGUCUGGCUUUCGAGUUUAUAAGGGUGUAAUUCGAUCGACCGCAAUAGUUCCAAGGGUAAAUCGUACAUUUUCCUAAUUAUAAUGAUGGUGGUAUGUGGUUUGUCCUUCAUUAGCCUUCAUCUUUCUCUGAUCUCAUCUUCGUCUCUCACGUCAAAUUAGGAUCCUCUGAUUUUGAAGUCACAACUUCUUUAUUUCUGACAUGUAAAUCCGAGUUUUUUUUGCCAUAAAAAAAGUCACAUGACAUCAACCUUAGAGGAUCAUGUGUCUCUUGCGCCACUACCGUCGUCCCUCUUCUUCCUUUACUUACCUUCACGCCUUCUCUAAAAUUAUACCGCCCAUCUUCUCAUUGCUCUUUGGCCGAAUGUGAUACUAACAAUAUUCUCCCAAUAAACUUGGAUCUUCAAGAUCUUCCUAGAUUAUUAUAGCUGCAUACUCCCUUCGUAUAAAAAACUAAUCUAGUAUAUAGUAUCGGAUGUGACAUAUCAUAAUACUGUGAAUUUAGAUAUACAUAUAUCUAAAUUUAUAGUACUAGUUUGGCUUUUUUACGAGACGAAAGUAGUAUGUAUAUAAAGAAGCAGCCGUAUGUUCCUGUUCAAAACGAGGACAAUAGAUAUAGCAGAAACAAUGGUGACACGACUACGAGCCACAUGUGCUAUGAGUGGGUCAUGGAUGUUGGCAUCAUGGUAUGGUAUAUACUUACCGCAGCUGUCACCAGAGAUGAUAAUUUCCUACUACAUUCGUUAUAAUUUAAAAUAUACUAAUAUAAUAUUAAAUUAGACAUAUUAUAAUAUUACGAAUCUAAAGUUCGGGAUAGAUAUGAUCUAUCUAAAUUUAUAAUAUUGGAAUGUGUCUAAUUUAAUAUUAAAUUACUAUAUUUUAAAAUGGAGAGAGUAAGUAGUACUACGGCUGAGGACAAAUGUAUCGGCAGAUCAGAUCAGAUCGUGAGUGCAGAGCAAAGCUAGGGUGCGACAAGGAAACCAACAAAAGAUUCUGCAUCUGUAUAUCUAUUUUAGAAAUAUAUAAGAAAGGUUCGGGUAUUUCGGUUAGCACCAUAAGGUAUGUGUGCUAACGAGUCUCGCUUCUCUUUUAAUAAAUUUGGAUAUGAGAGAUAUUUCUCUAAUAUCCAGCAUAUUUCAGAAAUACAUCACAAAUACAAUGCAAUGCUGUGCUAGCUGCUACAGCUAUCCAGAUACACAACGUACGUAUGCUGCAUGUAGCACAACCUUUGUCCUCAGGAUGGCAACAGUACCAUAUGCCAGAAAAUCAGACUGAAUUCUUCGGUGUUGCCGUCUUAGAACUUCUUUGAAAGCUACCUCUGAUGAACCUUUGUACAAAUAAAAGUUGUGGCAGAUAGGGUUUAAAAAGCGCUAGUGUGGUACCAAAUCCAAUAUAUAAGGUGCUAAUUAACAUUUACUCUCUCUUUUCCUGGAACUAGUUUUUUCCAACUACUACUCUCUCAUUUUCCACACAAGUAUAUUUCCAAACGGUUAAACAACGAUAUGUUCUUUUUUAAAAGAAAUCUAUAGGAAAGCUCCUUUACAAAAUCAUAUUAAUCCAUUAUCUAAGAAUUUUAUAACUAAUUUAAUUAAUUAUAUGUUUUUUAGAUAACUUAAACAACUUUAUUAACCAAGACAGAAAGCAGGGGAUACACCCCAAUACAUCGCAGAAGGAUACAACUUAAAGCAAAGCAAGAAGCCAUCUCUAACAAGGUAGAAGCUAACCAAUCUAAGGAAGCUAACUUCCAGAUGAGACUAAACAACAGUAGAGAAUCAGAUCGACAGAGUUCUGCGGCAAAGCCGCGACGACUGAAUCCUUGGGUCUCCAUUGACAUGCUCACCGCUUGACAGACUGGAAGGCUCCUACAGCUGUCACCACGGAAACGACACAAAUCGGAGGUUUGGUGCUGAGCCGUAGAUCUUGGUGUAGACGUCACCGGACUCAGCGAAUUGGUUCCACGGAGUCUGCCGUUAGAUAUGCUAAUGGACCAUUUUUUUCGUGCGUGGGAAAGGAGUGUUCAGACAAGCAAACGAUGCUAGCUAAUAGCAAUGUUUUCUUUCCAGAAGGUAGCAUGGGUGUCCUUAUGGGUCUUAUUCCAGUAUUUACUGUUCGAUGGCUAAGUGUCCUCAGGGAUGGGCAGUGAAAAUGCAAUUCCUAGCAACCAACAAAAUAUUUAAUUAGAUUUUUUUUCUUUGUUUCAUGUCAUUUGCUUUUUCAUUGGAAUUAUUAUUUGCUUGAUAACAUACCAAAAAAGAAAUCUAUCUAGCUACCCAAAUGAUCAAAUAUGCAACUAGCACAGACAUCAGACCUGUUGAUAUAAUUGUCUUUUAGCUUCCCUUUUUAUAUAUUUUGUUGGAGAUCUGGCUGCAACUAUCCCAUUUUCUAUGUCCAUAAUGUUUUGGUUCUGGCACUGUGCGUUACACGUGGUAUGGCAUAUCAGUUCAAUUAGAAAAUGACAACAGUACCUCUACCACUGGGACCGGGAUCCUCUCUAUCAUCAAAGGCAGAUAGCCAAAGUUUUGAUUUGGGUUAUUUGGAUAUAUUGCAUUAUAAAUUUGACGGAUUUGAAAUAGUUUGGGUCUAUGCUACAGUGCUUGAUAUCAACGGGCAAGUACUGGCAAAUUGUUUGAUUACGCUGCCGGAAUUGGAUUGUUUGAGAGGCAACCGUAACUUCACUAACUCAAACACGUGACAACUAUUAAUUUGCUGAUACUCAUAGUAGAAAUGAUUUGGACCUUCCACAUUUUCUUAUCUAACGAAACAAACCUAUUUAUGCCAUCACCAUAAUUACCAUUAGAAUUCGUGGGUUAAUAAUAUUGUUUCUACUGACAGAAGAGCAUAUGAAUCAAUGGUUUAGAUAAUCUAUGUUGAGUGUUGACAGUAUUGCUGGUAGCAGAUUUGCACCGGUGGAUGAUAGUAUUGUCUUGUCACAACAAUUUGGUUGGCGUGGUAAAAAAGUUUCAGAUUCAGAAAUAAGUUUUGAGAGGGUUUAUUUUUAAAACUAAAAAUUAAAUAGUUAAAAAGGUUUUUUAAUAAAAAAUCCACCGGUAGAUUGGUUGCAAAACUUGGCUACAAAAGCAUAGU